UGCAAGCCGGUGUGCGAGUACCGGUGCAGCGACACCAAGUACAGGAAGCCGUGCCUCUUCUUCUGCAACAAGUGCUGCAACACCUGCCUGUGCGUGCCGUCGGGCUUCUACGGCCACAAGUACGAGUGCCCCUGCUACAACAACUGGAAGACCAAGGAGGGACGCCCCAAGUGCCCUUAGUUGCAAAAAAGGAUUCUGCCUCGCCGUUGAAGCCAUUGCUAGAUCGGCCAAGCCAGAGCCGGAUAGUUACAUGUACUCACUAUAUAAACUAAUAUAAAAGCAUUUAGAUCAUUAAAAUAGUGAUCCAAACGUUCUUAUAUUAGUUUAUGGAGGGAGUAACAGGUUUCAGGCUGCUUCGGGCGACACUGGUGUGAAAGAAGUGAACUCAGAAUACUCGAUCAAUCUGGGUUGUUGUUGUGGAAUGUGUCCGCCUGUUUUCUGCGAUUCCAGGCAGCUGACGCGGUUGUAUCUGAAAAUUGUUCGUCAGAUAAUUGGAUAAUGGUCAUCAACUAUUUUUCAAAUACGAAAAUAUCUGUAUAUUUACAUGAACAUUUUUUGAAUUACAUGAUGAAUAAUUCUUAAGUGCGCAAUAAAAAAAAUCUAAUACACAAUGAGAAAUUUGGGAAAGAACGAUGAAGUUUUUUGGAAUAAACAAUGAAUACUUUAUAAUACAGGAUGUUUUUUUAUGGCUGACUAUUUUUCAAAUAGAUAGUUAACAUUUUUUAAACGAUGAAGAUUUUUAUAAUAUGUAUUGAAGAAUGUUUUUUAAAAUACACACAAUGUUUUCACAUGUACUCCUUCUGUAUGUAAAUAAUUAUAGCUGGGGAGAAAUAAUCUAGUUUCCCCAACUACAGUUAUUUAGAUACAGAGGAAGUAAUUUGUUUUAUGUAUAUGAACAUUUUCCUUUUUGCGGGCAUGCAUAUUUUAGUCUAAAGAGUAGAGAAAAGAAAUUUUAUUAUUAUUAUUAUUAUUGUUGUUGUUGUUGUUGUUGUUGUCAAUAAUAUUAUUAAUGCUGUUAUUAGGUGAACGUUUGAUCCGUUUGCUUAUUUCCUCACAUUGAGUGCACUGUGUUGGUAGCUUUUAUUGUUUCUUGAGGUGAAGUGUGUUGCUAGCCUUAUUGUUUUAGUUUCUAGAGAACUUCGUGCAUUUUAUUCAACGGUGAUCUUAUUGUUCAUUGUUUUUUAUAUAGCUUAUCACUCAUAUCAAGUGGUAUUCUAUGAUGAUCUUAAGAGGAAUCGUUACAAUAACUAUUAUUUCUUAACACUGUUGAAAUAUCAUGUGGCCCAGUUCUCUACGCUGAAGUGCGUUGACAGCUAGGGGAUUUUGAGCCCGCCCCAGUCGAGUUGCUGGGUCUAUCUGCGGUAGAAGGCAAGCGUUGAAUAUAGAAGCGCAGUGGCUGACCUAUUUAGCAUAGAGAGAAGAGCUAACACCGUGUAGCGUUUGCCUCAAAAACAAACCGUGUAGCCAGCUAGUUGAUUUUCAAAAAGGAGUGAAGCGUGCUAGUUUCUUUUUUCGAUUUUUAUCACUAUUUUUUAUUUUUUUAGCACUUUUUAGAUAUAUUUUUUGAUGUAAAUAAAAAUACAGCAAUUUAUUUAUUUUUUAAAAUGAACAGUUUCAAAUUUGAAACUAUUUAUUUAAAACAAUGUAAAUAAUUGUUAAGGAAUUUGUGAACUCUUUGAAAAACAAGCGAGCAUGUUUUAACACUAGUAUGACAUUUGUUUUGAAAUCUUUGUAUAUUUUAAAUAUGUGAAAAUUGUGAACACUUUUCAAACAUGACGAUGUAUGAAACUUUGGAUUUUUUCAAAAAAAAAAUUGAGAAUAUUUGAGAAAAUACAAAGGAAAUAAAAAAAUGCAUAGAAAAAAAUCUAGGAAAUAACAAAUACGAAUAGAACAGGAAAACCAAAAGUGGAAGUGGUCUCAUAAUGAGCAGAAUAGCAUCGGUACUAUGCUGCUAGUAGGGCACUGUAGGACAACCGGGCUGGCAUGUUCUAUUAGUUAGUUGGGUUGUUACGAGUUUCUUAAAAAAUAAAUCUAUGUUGUUACGAAAUCGGUAUGUAAAGGCAUCUUGAUUCGUAAACCAGACAUCGUAUCCGUCCGUUGAUAGAGAGGAUCAGUUUAUGAACAUAGAUGUAGGAGCCGGUCAUUUAAAGCUAGCCGCAUACAUCAUAAAAAAAAUGCAUACACCCACACACUGAAAAUAGCAGCAUAUGUAAUUCCAUUUUACCUAAGAAAAUGUUCAAAGGUUCACAUGCAUAGUUCUAACUUAAACAUUACACUCCAACAAUGAUGUUCCCUUUAACCGUCCAAAAAUGCUCGAUCAGAUCUUCCUUCAGUUGCUCAUGAAUUGUUCAAUAUCGAAUUUGUUGGUACAUUUCAACAAACUCAGCAAAUAAGUCCGACUAACUUGAAAGUUUGAUAGGAUCACCCAUGUUCUCAAAUUCAAGAUCUAUGGCAGCAUUCUCACCCUUAUCCUCCACGAUCAUGUUGUGCACGAUCACACAACAUAUCAUCACCCCACACAAGGUCUUUGGAUCCCAUUGUUUUUCAGGUCCAUGAACAACUAAAAAACGUGCAUGUGGUAUUCCAAGUGCGCUCUCAACAUCGUUUCUAGCCGCUUCAUGUUUUUGGUCAAACUGAUAUUUUUUCGCCAAUUGGGUCAGAGAUGGUCUUGACAAAGGUAGCCCAUGAAGAAUAGAUAUUGUCAACCAAAUAGUCACCCAAGUUGUAUUCAUGCCCGUUGAUAGUAUAGUGGCAAGGAGGAGUUUUCCCUUCAAUCAUCCUCACAAAUAAUGGUGAUUGUUGUAGCACAUUGAUGUCAAUGUGGGGCCCAUGCAUGCCAAAGAAAGUGUACAAAAUAUAGAGAUUAUGUGAUGAAACUGCUCCAAGAAUGGUGAUGUGCUUUUUAACAUGACAUGUAUAAUGCUCUUCUAGAACUUUUGGCAGUUAUUUCAUCUCCAAUGCAUGCAGUCAAGAGAUCCGAAAAAUCCUGGCCACCCUCUUACGUUAGACAUUGCCAAGAUCCUCUUUGUGUCUCUCACAGUUGGUUCUCUCAUGUACAAAUGUCUUAACUAAAGACCACUAAAGUAGCAAAUCUUACCAUGGUAUCUCUGCUAGUUCUCAUAGUCAUUCAUAUGUAUUUGUCCACGAAUCAGCCGAUAUACCAUAUGCAAGCAUAUGCAGUGUUGUCGUGCACUUCUGGUAACCACAGAGACCAAUCCUUCCCAUGGCAUCCUCCUUCAAGAUGAAGUAGUCAUUGAUAACCCACAAGCAUAGGGGAUUGCGAUAGUCAUCGCAGAUUACAUCCUGAUUUAUUGAUUUGACACGAGAAAAGGCAAAGAAUGAUUAUUGGUCUUAGCAGCUGAGUUAUCAAUUCAACCACAUAUCGGAUAUCUCUUUGAUGGAAAGUUUUUAGUAGCACAGCAAAAUAGUAGUAGUAACGAUAAUAGUAGCAGUUUUGUAGUGAUUGUAACAGUACCAGCAAUAAUAGUAACUUAGCAAGAUUUAGUAUACAAAAACAUAGACACGCGGAUCGAUGACAGAUGAUGAUUUAGAUGACAUCAAUCAUAUUAUUAUUAUUAGAAAUAUUAGGUGAACGUUUGAUCUGUUCACUUGAUUCCUCACUUUGAGUACAUUGUGUUGGUAGGUUUUAUUGUUUCUUGAGGGGAAGUGUGUUGCUAGCCUUAUUGUUUUAGAUUUUAGAGGACUUUGUGCAUUUUAUUCUACGAUGAUUUUAUUGUUCAUUAUUUUUUAUAUAGCUUACCACUCAUGCCAAGUGGUAUUCUAUGGUGAUCUUGAGAGGAAACGUUACAAUAACUAUGUUUUCUUAGCAUUGUCCAAAUAUCAUGUGGCUCAGUUCUGUACACUGAAGAGUGCCUUCAUGGCUGGGGAGACUGAGCCCUCCCGAGUCGAGAUGUUGGGUCUAUCUAUGAUAGCAAUAGGGAUGUAGAGUGGCACCCGAUCCACUCCGCUUCCAAGUCAAAAUAUCUUAGGUUUGUUAUAAAUUUUUAGUCAUAUUUAUCUCAGUUUAAAUUAAUGUUAUGUUAUGCAGGACUAUGCAGGAUGCCCGCCUAAAUCCUUAGAUACCACGCAAGCGUCGAAUAUAUAAGCUCGGUGCCUCGCCUAUUUAGCACGGAGAGAAGAGCUAACACCAUGUAGGGUUUUCCCCAAGAAAAAACCGUGUAGCCAGCUAGUUGAUUCUAAAAAAGAGUGAUGCGUGCUAGUUUAUUUUUGGAAUUUUAUGUUUUUUUUUAAGUUUUAGCACUUUCUUUUGUUGUAAAUAAAAAAAAUGAACACUUUCAAAUUUGAAAGUAUUUAAUUAAAAUAAUGUGAAUAAUUGUUAAGGAAUUUGUGAACUUUUUGGAAAACAAGUGAGCAUGUUGUAAUACUUGUGUAACAUUUUUUUGAAAUCUUUGUAUAAUUUAAAUAUGUGAAAAUUGUGAACACUUUUCAAACAUGAAGAUGUAUGAAACUUUGGAUUUCUUUCAAAAAAUAAUUGUGGAUAUUUGAGAAAAAUACAAAGAAAAAAAUACAAAGAAAACCAGUAGGAAAAAACAAAUAGGAACACAACAGGAAAGCGGAAAGUGGAAGUGAUCUCAUAAUGAGCUGAAUAGCGUCGGCACUAUGCUGCUAGUAGGGCACUAUGGNNNNNNNNNNNNNNNNNNNNNNNNNNNNNNNNNNNNNNNNNNNNNNNNNNNNNNNNNNNNNNNNNNNNNNNNNNNNNNNNNNNNNNNNNNNNNNNNNNNNCCACUGUGCUGGAAAGUCAACCGCAUUGUAGUAACGCUUCCUCUUAGUAAUCUGCAAAGGUAUGAAGAUGCUCUACCACAUUGCUCGUUGGUGGUUUUUCCUAGAUAGAUCCUUGUGUGACGUAGGAAAACUUUUGAAAUUACUACGUUCCCCAACAGUGGCAUCCGAGCCAAGGUUCUAUGCGUAGAUACUAUGCACGAGUAGAACACAAAAGUUGUGGGCACUGAUUUUGUCAAUUGCUUGCCGUUACUAGUCUUAUCUUGAUUUGGCGGCAUCGUGGGAUGAAGCGGCCCAGACCAACUUUACACGUACUCUUACGUGAGACUUGUUCCACCGACUGACAUGCACUUGUUGCAUAAGGUGGCUAGCGGGUGUCUGUCUCUCCCACUUUAGUCGGAUCGGAUUCGAUGAAGAGGGUCCUUAUGAAGGGUAAAUAGCAUUGGCAUAUCAACGUUGUGGCUGUCACGUAGAUAAGAAGCGUUCUAGCUAGAAACCCAAAUCAGCCACGUAAAACUUGCAACAACAAUUAGAGGACGUCUAACUUGUUUUUGCAGGGUAUGCUAAGUGAUGUGAUAUGGCCAAAAGGAUGUGAUUUUACAAAUGUGAUGUAUGAGAUUGAUCAUGUUCUUGUAAUAGGAUUCACGACUUGCAUGUUGAUGAGAAUGACAACCGACAGGAGCCAUAGGAGUUGUCUUAAUUUAUUGUAUGAGAUGCAACGCCAUGUGAUUACUUUACUUUAUUGCUAACUGUUAGCUAUAGUAGUAGAAUUAAUAGUUGGCGAGACGACUUCGCAAAGACACAAUGAUGGAGAUCAUGAUGAUGGAGAUCAUGGUGUCAUGCCAGUGACAAUGAUGAUCAUGGUGCCCCGAAGAUGGAGAUGAAAGGAAUAAAAUGAUAUUGGCCAUAUCAUGUCACUAUAUGAUUUCAUUUGAUCUUUAUCAUGUUUUUCAUCUUAUUGCUUAGAACGACGGUAGCAAAGAUAAGAUGAUCCCUCAUUAAAAAUUUCGAGAUAAGUAUUCCCCUAAGUGUGCACCGUUGUGAAGGAUUGUUGUCUCGAAGCACCACGUGAUGAUCGGGUGUGAUAAAUUCUAACGUUCGAAUACAGCAGGUGAAAGCCAGAUUUACACGAGUAGAACACUUAGGUUGACUCAACGAGCCUAGCAUGUACGGACAUGGCCUCGAAUACGGGAGACCAAAAGGUUGAACAUGAGUCGUAUGGAUGAUACGAUCAGCAUGGAGAUGCUCACCAUUGAUGACUAGUCCGUCUCACGUGAUGAUCGGACACGGGCUGGUCGACAUGGAUCAUGUAUCACUUGGAUGACUAGAGGGAUGUCUAUCUAAGUUGGAGUUCAUUCAAUAAUUUGAUUAGAUGAACUUAAUUAUCAUGAACUUAGUCUACAAUUGUCUUUACAAAUAUUGUAGAUCCAAUGGCCAACGCAAAUGUCCCAUUCAACUUCAACGUGUUCCUAGAGAAAACCAAGCUGAAAGACGAUGGGAGCAACUAUGUGGACUCGGCUCAUAACUUAAAGCUCAUCCUCAUGGCUUCCAAGAAGGCAUAUAUCCUUGAUGCGCCGCUCGGUGACCCUCCCGUUCCCGCGGCAACCCAGGACGUUAGGAACUUCUGGCAGUCGUGGAGUGAUGAAUACUCUCUGGUUUAGUAUGGCAUGCUUUACAGUUUAGAACGGGGGCUCCAAAGGCGUUUUGAGAAACAUGGAGCAUAUGAAAUGUUCGUGGAGCUAAAACUAGUUUUUCAAGCUCAUGCCCGGGUCAAGAGAUAUGAGAUCUCUGACAAGUUCUUUAGCUUAAAGAUGGAGGGGAAUAGUUCUGUCAGUGAGUACAUACUCAGAAUGUCUGGGUUGCACAACCGCUUGACUUAGUUGGGAGUUGAACUUCCGGAUGACGCGGUCAUUGAUAGAAUCCUCGAGUCACUUCCACCUAGCUAUAAGGGCUUUUUGAUGAACUACACCAUGCAAGGCAUGGAGAAGACCAUUCCCGAGUUGUAUUCAUUGCUGAAAUUUGCAGAGGUAGAAAUCAAGAAAGAACAUCAAGUGUUGAUGGCGAAUAAGACCACCAGUUUCAAGAAAGGCAAGGGUAAAAAGAACUUCAAGAAAUACGGCAAAGCAGUUGCCGCGCCCGGUAAACCAGUUGCCGGGAAGAAGCCAAAGAAAGGAUCCAAGCCUGAGACUGAGUGCUAUUAUUGCAAGGGAACCGGUCACUAGAAGCGGAACUGUCCCAAGUACUUAGUGGAUAAGAAGGUCGGCAACGUGAAAGGUAUAUAUGAUAUACAUGUUAUUGAUGUGUACCUUACUAGCGCUCGUAGUAGCUCCUGGGUAUUUGAUACGGGUGUUGUUGCUCACAUUUGCAACUCAAAACAGGAACUGCGGAACAAGCGAAGGCUGGCAAAGGACGAGGUGACGAUGCGCGUUGGGAAUGGAUCCAGGGUCGAUGUGAUCGCCGUCGGCACGCUACCUCUACAUCUACCUUCGGGAUUAGUUUUAAACCUCAAUAAUUGUUAUUUAGUACCAUCUCUGAGCAUGAACAUUGUAUCGGGAUCUCGCUUGAUGCAAGAUGGCUACUCAUUUAAAUCCGAGAAUAAUGGUUGUUCCAUUUAUAUGAGUGAUAGGUUUUAUGGUCAUGCCCCGCUGGUCAAUGGUUUAUUCCUGAUGAAUCUCGAACGUGCUGUUACACAUAUCCAUAGUGUUUGUGCCAAAAUAUGUAAAGUUUAUAAUGAUAGUCCCACAUACUUGUGGCACUGCUGCCUUGGUCAUAUCGGUGUCAAGCGCAUGAAGAAAUUCCAUACAGAUGGACGUUUAGAGUCACUUGAUUUUGAAGCAUUUGACACAUGCGAACCGUGCCUCAUGGGCAAGAUGACCAAGACUCCGUUCUCCGGAACAAUGGAGCGAGCAACCAACUUGUUGGAAAUAAUACAUAUACUGAUGUAUGCACUCCAAUGAGUGUUGAGGCUCGCAGUGUCUAUCGUGAUGUUCUCAUCCUCACUCUUGAUUUAAGCAGAUAUGGGUAUGUCUACUUAAUGAAGCACAAGUCUGACACCAUUGAAAGGUUCAAGGAAUUUCAGAGUGAGGUAGAGAAUCAACAUGACAGGAAAAUAAAGUUCCUACAAUCUGAUCAUGGAGGAGAAUAUUUGAGUCACGAGUUUGGCACGCACCUAAAGAAAUGUAGAAUUGUUUCACAACUCACGCUGCUUGGCACACCGCAACGUAGCCGUGUGUCUGGACGUCAUAAUCGCACUUUAUUGGAUAUGGUGCGAUCUAUGAUGUCUCUUACUGAUUUAGCGCUGCCAUUUUGGGGAUAUGCAUUGGAAAUUGUCGCAUUCACUUUAAAUAGGACACCGUCUAAAUCCGUUGAGACGACACCGUAUGAAUUAUGGUUUGGCAAGAAACCUAAGCUAUCGUUUCUGAAAGUUUGGGGCUGCGAUGCUUAUGUGAAGAAACUUCAACCAGAGAAGCUCGAACCUAAAGCGGAAAAACGCGUCUUCAUAGGAUACCCUAAGGAAACUAUUGGGUAUACCUUGUAUCUUAGGUCCAAAGGCAAAAUCUUUGUUGCCAAGAACGGAUCCUUUCUAGGGAAAGAGUUUCUCUCGAAAGAAGUAAGUGAGAGGAAAGUAGAACUUGAUCAGGUAAUUGUACCUCCUCUUGAACCGGAGAGUAGCGCAUCACAAGAAAAUGUUUCUGAGGUGCCUGCACCGGCUAGAGAAGAAGUUAAUGAUGAUGAUAAUGAAACUUCCGAUCAAGUUUCCACUGAACCUCGAAGGUCCACAAGGACAUGUUCCGCACCAGAGGGGUACGGCAACCCUGUCAUGGAAAUCAUGUUGUUGGACAACAGUGAACCUUCGAACUAUGAAGAAGCGAUGGCGGGCCCGGAUUCCAACAAAUGGCUUGAGGCCAUGAAAUCCGAGAUAGUAUCCAUGUAUGAGAAUAAAGUAUGGACUUUGGUGGACUUGACCUAUGAUCGGCGAGCCAUAGAAAACAAAUGGAUCUAUUAGAAGAAGACUGGCGCAGAUGGUAAUGUGACCAUCUAAAAGGCUCGACUUGUCGCUAAGAGUUAUCGACAAGUUCAAGGGAUUGACUAUGAUGAGACCUUCUCACCUGUAGCGAUGCUGAAGUCGGUCCGAAUCAUGUUAGCAGUUGGCGCAUUUUAUGAUUAUGAAAUCCGGCAAAUGGACGUCAAAACAGCAUUCCUGAAUGGCUUUCUUAAGGAAGAAUUGUUUAUGAUACAGCUGGAAGGUUUUGUCAAACCUAAUAAUGCUGACAAGGUAUGCAAGCUCCAGCGCUCCAUCUAUGGGCUGGUGCAAGCAUCUCGGAGUUGGAACAUUUGCUUUGAUGAGGUUAUCAAAGCGUUUGGCUUAUACAGACUUAUGGAGAAGCUUGUAUUUAUAAGAAAGUGAGUGGGAGCUCUAUAUCAUUUCUCAUAUUAUAUGUGGAUGACAUAUUGUUGAUGGGAAAAGAUAUAUAACUUUUGGAAAGCAUAAAGUCCUAUUUGAAUAAGAGUUUUCAAUUGAAGGACCUUGGAGAAGUUGCUUAUAUAUUAGGCAUCAAUAUCUAUAGAUAUAGAUCGAGACGCCUCAUUGAUCUUUCACAAAGCACAUACCUUGACAGGAUAUUGAAGAAGUUCAUUAUGGAUAAGUCUAAGAAGGGGUUCUUGCCUGUAUUAUAAGGUGUGAGGUUUAGUACGACUCAACGCCCGAGCACGGCAGAAUAUAGAGAAAAGAUGAGUACCGUCCCCUAUGCUUCAGCCAUAGGCUCUAUUAUGUAUGCCAUGCUCUGUACCAGAUCUGAUGUGAACCUUGCCAUAAGUUUGGUAGGGAGGUACCUGAGUGAUCCAGGAGUGGAUCACUCGACAACGGUCAAGACCAUCCUUAAGUACCUGAAAAGGACCAAAGAUAUGUUUCUCGUUUAUGGAGGUGUCGAAGAGCUCGUCGUAAAGGGUUACAUUGAUGCUAGCUUCGACACGGAUCCGGAUGACUCUAAGUCACAAGCCGGAUACGUGUAUAUUUUGAAUAAUGGGACAGUUAACUGGUGCAGUUGCAAGAAAAGCAUCAUGGCGGCAUCUACAUGUGAAGUGGAGUACAUAGCUGCUUCAGAAGCAACAACUGAAGGAGUCUCGAUGCAGGAGUUCAUCACCGACCUAGGAGUGAUUCCCAGUGCGUCGGGUCCAAUAACUCUGUUCUGUGACAAAACCGGUGCUAUUGCCAUUGCCAAGGAGCCUAGGUUUCACAAGAAGACCAAGCACAUCAAGCGCCGCUUCAACUCCAUUCGUGGAUACAUCCACAAUGGAGAUAUAGAUAUUUCUAAAGUACAUACAAAUGUGAAUGUCGUAGAUCCGUUGACUAAACCUCUUCCACGAGCGAAACAUGAUCAGCACCAGAACUCUAUGGGUGUUCGAUUCAUCACAAUGUAACUAGAUUAUUGACUGUAGUGCAAGUGGGAGACUUUUGGAAAUAUGCCCCAAAGGCAAUAAUAAAGUUGUUAUUAUUAUAUUUCCUAGUUCAUGAUAAUUGUCUAUUAUGCAUGCUAUAAUUGUAUUAACCAGAAAACAUAAUACAUGUGUGAAUACAUAGAUCAUAAUGUGUCCCUAGUGAGCCUCUCGUUGGCUGGCUUGUUGAUCAAUAGAUGGUCAUGGUUUCCUGAUCAUGGACAUUGGACGUCAUUAAUAACGGAAUCACAUCGUUGGGGAAUGGUGUGAUGGACAAGACCCAAUCCUAAGCAUAGCACUAGAUCGUAUUGUUCGUCUGCUAAAACUUUUCAAAUGUCAAGUAUCAUUUCCAUAGACCAUGAGAUUGUGCAACUCCCGGAUACUGUAGGAGUGCUUUGGGUGUAUCAAACGUCACAACGUAAAUGGGUGAUUAUAAGGGUGCACUAUAGGUAUCUCCAAAAGUGUAUGUUGGGUUGUACGAAUCGAGACUGGGACUUGUCACUCCGUGUGAUGGAGAGGUAUCUCUGGGCCCACUCGGUAAUGCAUCAUCAUACUGAGCUCAAUGUGACUAAGGAGUUAGCCACGGUAUGAUGUGUUACGGAAAGAGUAAAGAGACUUGCCGGUAACGAGAUUGAACAAGGUAUAGGGAUACCGACGAUCGAAUCUCGGGCAAGUAUCAUACCGGUUGACAAAGGGAAUUGCAUACGGGAUUGAUUGAAUCCAUCUCAUCGUGGUUCAUCCAAUGAGAUCAUCGUGGAACAUGUGGGAACCAACAUGGAUAUCCGUACCCCGCUGUUCAUUAUUGACGGGAGAGGUGUCUCGGUCAUGUCUGCAUGGUUCCCGAACCCGUAGGGUCUGCACACUUAAGGUUCGAUGACGCUAGGGUUAUAAUGUGAAUAGUAUGUGGUUACCGAAGGUUGUUCGGUGUAACACCCUGAUUUUGAUUUCUUGCCCCCAAGCAGCUCAAGAUCUUUCACAACUUGCCAAAAACCAUUCUGAGAUUUAUUUGCAAUAUUUUAUUCCUCCAAAUAAUUCUCUUUCUAUUUUGGGAAUUAUGGCAUCACUAUGGUUUGUGAAGCAACCUAUAGCUUGGAUGAGAUUUAAGUCCCAAAACUUUUACAACGUAUUCUCAAUAUCAUAUGAUUUCAAAAUAUUCAAAAAUAUUUCUUUGUCCAAUGGAGAAUUUUGGCUAGAAUAAUUAUUUCUUUUCUGACUAGAAUUGUCCCUUUGUGAAGCAACCCCAUGAUUCCUGUUUUAGAAAAUUCCCAAUAAAUUCCUGUAAUUACUAGGGAUCAUAUAUAGUUCCAAUAUGUAAAAACAUCCAAUGGUCCAAUACAAAUUUUGAGCACGAAAACUCUGCUAAGUUUCAGCUAAAAUUGAACCCUUGUGAAGGAAGUGAUAGCUAGGAGUGCACAAUAAAGCUACAAAAUUUUGGGCAUGUGUGCACUACCAAUUGACACUUCCCCACCAAGUCUCACUUUUAGCAAAUCUUGCAAUUGAGUGCUAGGAGCUCAUUUGUGUUCUGGACCAGAAAGAUGGUUUUCAAAGGAACUAUAUUCAUUUGAUCUUCAAACCUUGCUAAACUUUGCCAGCUUAGAAUCUUUUCUAUGCUGAUCCUCCCAAACAUCCUAUCUUACCCCAACCCCAACCCAUUUGAGCUCUAGAAGCACCCAAAGUCUGUAGACAGAACCUGUUUCUGAUGCUCCAAGACGUUGGUGAGCGUGAGUGAUCGAGCAAGCAGUGGAGAGUGACUAAUCAGAGUCUGGUCGACGCAAUGGACAAAGGUUCCAUGCCUGCGUGGCACUGGGGUGGCCACAACCAUGGUGACCAUGGUGCUGGCAUGCCACAAAGCGCGCUCUGCACAACUCCAGUGAUAGCCGAGCCACCCCGUAUCGUCAAUCGCUGCCCCCUCCUUGUCCUGAGUGCCGACGAUGCCCGUGGCAGCCGUGUGGGACCUCUCGAAGGUGCUGGGUCGCCGGAGAGCGCCGCCGCCGCUCCCGGCCAAGCUCCGCUACAGGACCGAGCUGACGGCUCCGGCCACUGUGCUCGUCUGCAAGCUCUUAAUGGCCAGGAGCUAUCCCAUCGCCUCCAUGUCCUCCUCCGUCACCUCAGUGCGCUCCACGACGGCCGGCUCAGCCCCCCGGCGACUGUGUUGGAGCUUAUCUUCGCCGCUUCGGGAGAAAUCGGCCGAGCUCGUCGCCGGCCUAUUUAAGGGAGUGCCCGACCCCACCGAGCUCUACACACCCCUCCUGCUUCUCCCAAUUGACCUCCCGAAGAGCGAGCCAAGGCCUAGAGGCCCUCUGGCCUCGAAAAUCACCCGAGCUCCGCCGCCUGCAGCCUCACCAUCGACCGCACCAUCCACCCCUUCCAGAGCUCAAUAGAUCCCACCAUCGACAGCACCAUCCACCCCUUCCAGAGCUCAAUAGACCCCACCAACAAUUAAAUUACUUUUAUAAAUUCCAGAUUCAAACAGAAACUUUGACCAUCUAAAUCUUUUUAUUUACAAGUCCAAAUCACUUGAUUCUUUUUCCAUUGAGUUGGUAUUGAGUUUCUCUACAAUCUGGUAAAUUUUGGUAUUUUUCUCAUACUCAUAGAAUUUCUGGUUAAUAAAGAGGUAUUAAAUGACUUUUCUUUUCUUUUGGCUAUUUCAAAUAAAUUUCAGAGGGAAACUUUGGAGAACAGGAGUGUUUGAAUAACCCCACUGAUCAAGGCAAGCCAUUAUAUCCAUGUGGUGUAGUAUUGCAUAGCAUAGCAUACUUUCAUGCAUGAUCAUCAUUCACUUGAUAUUAGCAAAUGCUUACUAAAUUAAUAAUGAUAAUUAUUUAAUUGUUGUCAUAAUUCUCCAAGUUGAUAACAACUUAGUGGUUGACAUAGAGUCACCUGUCUGGGCUUUAUCGUACAACCACGUCUUGCCGAUAUGGGACGGCCGUGACUUGAGUUGUUUCGCGUGAUUGCUUUCACCGGUACCUCCAAAGAGGGAGGGUUAUGCACGCAUGCUACCCUGAUCAUGUAGGCGGUGAUAACCCUGUGAUCCCAGUUGAGUUGUUAGGGCCCAUCCCCGGUUGGGACAAUUUAGUUUGGCCACGACGGUGGCAGGUGUCAUGAAGACAUAGGGCCACUCAUGGCUGUUGUGUAUCCCUUGCAACGGCGCCAGAAAUAGUUGUGUCGAGGGCACCAGGAAUCCUUCAGCUACGGCUACGCCUUAAGGGACUUCCUAGGCAAGUAUGCAAAGGAUUUCCCCUGCGGCCUUGGAGCCUUGCAUUGGUGUUCCCUCGAAGCGGAAAGGGUGAUGUAGCACAACGACGGUAAGUAUUUCCCUCAGUUUGAGAACCAAGGUAUCAAUCCGGCGAAAGAGUAUCUCAAGAUCCUCCACAAACACGAAAAUCUUGCACCCAACGCUAUGAAGGGGUUGUCAGUCCCUUAUAGAUUGUUUGCCAAGUGAGAACUGAAAGCAACAAAGUAACAAAGUAACAAAGCAAAGUAAAAGCGGAGUUUUAAACGAUGGAUGUGAAUAGACCCAGGGUCCGUAGCGUUUACUAGUGGCUUCUCUCAUGAAAGCAAGUAGACGAUGGGUGAACAAAUUACUGUCGAGCAAUUGAUAGAACUGUGCAGAGUCGUGACGAUAUCUAUGCAAUGAUUAUUUCUAUAGGCAUCACGUUCGAAACAAGUAGACCGAUACUUUCUGCAUCUACUACUAUUACUCCACACGUCGACCGCUAUCCAGCAUGCAUCUAGUGUAUUAAGUUCAUAAGAACAGAGUAACGCCUUAAGCAAGAUGACAUGAUGUAGAGGGAUAAUCUCAAACCAAUGAUAUAAACCCCAUAUUCUUACCCUUGAUGGCAACUGCUUGAUGUGUGCCUUGCUGCCCCUACUAUCACUAGAAAAGGUCACCACAUGGCAGAACCCAAAACCAAGCACUUCUCCUAUUGCAAGAAUCAUAUAUCUAGUUGGCCAAACAAAACCCAAGACUCGGAGAGACUUACAAGGAUAUCAAAUCAUGCAUAUAAGAAAUCGGCAAAGACUCAAAUAUAUAUCAUAGAUAAUCUGAUCACAAGUCCACAAUUCAUCGGAUGUCGACAAACACACCGCCAAAGAAGAUUACAUCGGAUAGAUCUCCAUGAAGAUCAUGGAAAACUUUGAAUUGAAGAUCCAAGAGAGAGAAGAAGCCAUCUAGCUACUAACUACGGACCCGUAGGUCUGAAGUGAACUACUCACGAGUCAUUGGAGGGGCGAUGAUGAUGAUGAAGAAGCCCUCCACCUCCAAAGUCCCCUCCGGCAGGGUGCCGGGAAGGGUCUCCAGAUGAGAUCUCGCGGAAUCGGAAGCUUGCAGCGGCGGAAAAGUAUUUUCGAGGCUCCCCUGAUAUUUUGCGGAAUAUUUGGGAAUAUAUAGGCACAAGACCUAAGUCAGGGGGCGGCCAGGGAGGCCACAAGCCUUCCCACCGCUGCCUCCCCCUGGUGGCGGAGUGGGGGCUUGUGGGCUCCGUGGAGCCCACCUAGCUAGGCCCAAAAGUCCCCUGGACUUCUUCCGUUCGGGAAAAAAUCAUUUCGGGAUUUUUCUUCCAUUUGGACUCCGUUCCAAAAUCAGAUCUGAAAAGAGUCAAAAACACCGAAAAACAUGAACUGGCACUUGGCACUGAAUCAAUAAGUUAGUCCCAAAAAAGAUAUAAAAAGGUACAUAAAACUUACUACGAAGGCAAGAUAACAGCGUGAAACCAUCAAAAAUUAUAGAUACUUUUGAGACGUAUCAAGCAUCCCCAAGCUUAACUACUGCUCGUCCUCGAGUAGCGAAGUGAUAAUGAAUUUUUGAUGCUUUCAUGCUACCUAGCAGAAGUGUCCUUUGUAAUUCCUCUUAUGUGAUGUGAAUGUUCAGAUCCAUUAGAUUCAAAACAAUAGUUUGCUAUUGACGUGGAGACAAUAAUAAUUCAAGCAAACUAGCAAAGUAAUCAUGAACUUUCAAAAUAACAAGGCCAAAAGAAAGUUAUCCCUACAAAAGCAUAUAGUGUGGCUAUGCUCUAUCAUCAUUGCACAACGAAUUUAAAUCAUACACAACCCCGGUAUUGGCCAAGUAAUUGUUUCACACCUUUUCUUUCUCAAACAUUUUCAACCCUCACGCAAUACAUGAGCGUGAGCCAUGGUUAUAGCACUAUAGAUCGUGUGGAAUGUGGUGGAGGUUGCAAGACAAAAAGGAGAAGAUAGUCACAUUUACUAGGCAUAUCAAUGAGCUGUGGAGAUGCUCAUCAAUAGAUAUCAAUGUGAAUGAGUAGGGAUUGCCAUACAAAUGAUGCACUAGAGCUACAAGUAUGUGAAAGCUCUUAAAGAAAACUAGUGGGUAUGCAUCCAACUUGCUUGCUCACGAAGACCUAAGCCAAUUUUGAGGAAGCCUAUCAUGCGAAUAUACAAGCCAAGUUAUAUAAUGAGGAUUUCCCACUAGCUAUAUGGUGGUGACAAAACGAGAGACUCUCAAUCAUGAAGAUCAUGGUGCUCAAUAUGCACAAGUGUGGAAAAAGUGGUAGCAUUGUCCCUUCUCUCUUUUUCUCUCAUUUUUUUGGUGGGAUCUUUGGCCUCUUUUUUAUGGGCUUCUUUGGCCUCUUUUAUUUCCUCACAUGGGACAAUGCUCCAAUAAUGAUGAUCGUCACACUUUCAACUCAAAACUUAGAGCAAUUAUGACUCUAUAUGGAAUGCCUUCGGUAGUGUACCGUGGCAAUGAUCUAGCAUGGCAUAGACAUCAAUGGAAACAUCAUGCUCGCUAUCUUACGAUCGUGCAAAGGCAAGGUAGACGUGGUGGCACAUAUCAUGGUGGUAGUUGCAUGGCAAUAUAUCUCGGAGUGACUUUGAAAAAGCCAUAGUAGGUAGGUAUGGUGGCUGUUUUGAGGGAGGCUAAUGGUGGGUUUUGUGCACCUGCGAAAGUUGCGCGGCACUAAGAAGAUAGUGAUGGUGGAAGGUGAAAGUGCAUCUAAACCAUGGACUCAACAUUAGUCAUGAAGAACUCAUAUACUUGUUGCAAAAGUUUUAUUAGUAAUCAAAACAAAGCAUUCAACGCAUACUCCUAGGGGAAGGGUUGGUAGGUAUAAACCAUCGCGCGAUCCCGACCGCCACGCAAAGGAUGACAAUCAAUAUACUAAUCAUGCUCAGACUUUAUCACAUAGCGGUUCACCAUACGUGCAUGCUACGGGAAUCACUAACUUCAACACAAGUAUUUCUAGAUCCACAACACCUUACUAGCAUGACUUCAAUAUUACCAUAACCACAACUCAAAACUAACUGAGAUGAAUCAAACUUCUCUAACUAUUCAAUGCACAUGAAGGUGGAAGUUUUCGUAUCCCUUUGGAUAACUACCUAUUUUGAGACUACUUUCAAAGCAUAGAUCAACUACCAAGCCACGCACCGCUGCGCUCUAAAAUAUAUAAGUGAACCACAUAGAGCAAAAGUAUCUAGCUCAAAAGAUUAAGUGAAGCACAUGUGAGCUGAAUUGUCUACCAAAAGAUAUAAGUGAAGCUCGACAAAAUCACGGUGUGUGCAUGUCUCUCUCUCUAGGUCUGCAGCAAGGAUGAUUGUGACACAACAAAAAUAAAAGACUCCUACGAUACACGGCGCUCCAAGCAAAAACACAUAACAUGUGGUGAAUAAAAAUAUAGCCCCAAGUAACGUUACCGAUGGAUUGAAGACGAGAGAGGGGAUGCCUUCCCGGGGCAUCCCCAAGCUUAGGCUUUUACCAAAUCCUUGAAUCUCUUGGGGUGACUUGGGCAUCCCCAAGCUUGAGCUCUUGCCACUCUUUAUCUUUUUGUCCAUAAGAACUUCACCCAAAACUUGAAAACUUCACAACACGAAACUUAAACAGAAACUCGUGAUAUCAUUAGUACAAGAAAGCAAACCACCACUUCCUUAAGUACUGUAGCAAACUUAAAUUCUACUUGUGCUGAUGUUGGGUUACUGUACUUUCAAUCAUCCAUGGCUAAUACCCCCCGAUACUAACCAUAGUUUCAUCAAAAUAAGCAACCAACACAACAAAAACAGAAUAUGUUAACAGCAGACCAGUCUGUAGAAAUCUGUAUGUUUCGUAUACCUCUGAUACUUCAAAAAUUCUGAAACAUCACGACAGUCUGAAGAAUUUGCGUAGCAAUCAGCAGCAAGAAGAAUCAACUCAAAAGCUCUUACAGAAAAAAAUGAAAAUUCUUUUCGUGAGCAGAAAGUUUGUGUCUUUCCCACCAUGACCAAACGAUCAUCCUCAAGACUAAUCAUAACGGUUUUGCUUGGCACGAACGCAAAAAGAAACACAAUCAUAACAGAAUUAUGAAAGUGUGGAAAACACAAAAUAGAAAGAAAGAGGGUAGAUUCGUUGGGUUGCCUCCCAACAAGUGCUUUUGUUUAACGCCCUUAGCUAGGCGAAAGUGAUGGAAUCACGUAUAGUUAUCUUUGGUGCUCAAACCAUAGGUAGCAUGAUCAUUUAUCAUCUUAAGAUUUUCAUAUUUAUUAGAUGACUCACCACUAACUCUAGGAACAAAAACAGGCUUGACGGUCUUUUUGAGAGUAAGAUUUGGAGUAUUUUGCACAAGGGCAAAAGCGGAACCCAAGUUGGUUAUGAUAUCUUAUAAUUUGCCAAUUCUAGAAGAAUCAUUAACUAUAAGUUCCUUCUCCUUUAAAUUUUUCAAAAAGUUUCCCACUUUGGAUCCGUAUUGAGUAAUUUGGUUGUGGAUCUUUCUAUCCAAACCCCCAAUAAGUUCAACUGUGGCAAUUUUGUUUUCAAUAGCGUCAAGCCUUUGCAUCACGUGUUCCAAGGUCAAGAUAGUUCCAUUAACCAUGAGCGGGGGUGAGCCUACCAAAUUAAAGAUAGCUCUAUAGGAGUCAACAGUAUGACUCCCCAAAAAGUUCCCGCCUACAAUGGUAUCAAGGAUAUACCUAUGACAAGGAGAAAUUCCACCAUAGAAACGGCGAAGGAGGACGGUAGUGGAUUGCUUACGAGUAGAUCUACUUUGAGCAUUGCAAAUCCUGUACCAAGCGUCCUUCAAAUUUUCUUCCUCAUUCUGCCUGAAAUUGAGAACUUCAUUUUCAGGGGUGUCGUUUGGAGUGGUGGGUCUAGCCAUUGAUGGACUAUCUCACACACAAACGAGAAGGAAGAGAGAGUGAAACGGGCAAAAGAAGACAACAAAAAGGAAAAAAGAAAAUGGCGAAGGCGAAUGAAAACGGCAAAUGUGAAGUGGGGGAGAGGAAAACGACUGGCAACUUGCAACAAAAGUAAAUGCAAGAGAAGAGUUUGUGAGACCUACUUGGAUAGCUCUUGAUUUCUCCUCUCCGGCAACGGCGCCAGAAAUACUUCUGAUGGCUGUUGUGUAUCCCCGACAACGGCGCCAGAAAUACUUCUGAUGGCUACUCUGUAUCCCUUGCAACGGCGCCAGAAAUAGUUGUGUCGACGGCACCAGGAAUCCUUCAGCUGCGGCUACGCCUUAAGGGACUUCCUAGGCAAGUAUGCAAAGGAUUUCGCCCGCGGCCUUGGAGCCUUGCGUUGGUGUUCCCUCGAAGCGGAAAGGCUGAUGUAGCACAGCGACGGUAAGUAUUUCCCUAAGUUUGAAAACCAAGGUAUCAAUCCGGCGGAAGAGUAUCUCAAGAUCCUGCACAAACACGAAAAGCUUGCACCCAACGCUAUGGAGGGGUUGUCAAUCCCUUAUAGAUUGUUUGCCAAGUGAGAACUGAAAGCAACAAAGUAACAAAGUAACAAAGCAAAGUAAAAGCGGAGUUGUAAACGACGGAUGUGAAUAGACCCGAGGGCCAUAGCAUUUACUAGUGGCUUCUCUCAUGAAAGCAAGUAGACGGUGGGUGAACAAAUUACCGUCGAGCAAUUGAUAGAACUGUGCAGAGUCGUGACGAUAUCUAUGCAAUGAUUAUUUCUAUAGGCAUCACGUCCGAAACAAGUAGACCGAUACUUUCUGCAUCUACUACUAUUACUCCACACGUCGACCGCUAUCCAGCAUGCAUCUAGUGUAUUAAGUCCAUAAGAACAGAGUAACGCCUUAAGCAAGAUGACAUGAUGUAGAGGGAUAAUCUCAAACCAAUGAUAAAAUCCCCAUCUUUUUACCCUUGAUGGCAACUGCUUGAUGUGUGCCUUGCUGCCCCUACUGUCACUGGGAAAGUUCACCACAUGGCAGAACCCAAAACUAAGCACUUCUCCCAUUGCAAGAAUCAUAGAUCUAGUUGGCCAAACAAAACCGAAGACUCGGAGAGACUUACGAGGAUAUCAAAUCAUGCAUAUAAGAAAAUCAGAAAAGACUCAAAUAUAUAUCAUAGAUAAUCUGAUCACAAGUCCACACUUCAUCGGAUCUUGACAAACACACCGCCAAAGAAGAUUACAUCGGAUAGAUCUCCAUGAAGAUCAUGGAGAACUUUGUAUUGAAGAUCCAAGAGAGAGAAGAAGCCAUCUACCUACUAACUACGGACCCGUAGGUCUGAAGUGAACUACUCACGAGUCAUUGGAGGGGCGAUGAUGAUGAUGAAGAAGCCCUCCACCUCCAAAGCCCCCUCCGGCAGGGUGCCGGGAAGGGUCUCCAGAUGAGAUCUCACGGAAAUGGAAGCUUGCGGCGGCGGAAAAGUAUUUUCGAGGCUCCCCUGAUUUUUUGCGGAAUAUUUGGGAAUAUAUAGGCACAAGACCUAGGUCAGGGGGCGGACAGGGAGGCCACAAGCCUGCCCACCGCCGCCUCCCCCUCGUGGCGGAGUGGGGGCUUGUGGGCUCCCUGGAGCCCACCUGGCUUGGCCCAAAAGCCCCGUGGACUUCUUCCGUUCGGGAAAAAAAUCAUUUUCGGGUUUUUCUUCCAUUUGGACUCCGUUCCAAAAUCAGAUCUGAAAAGAGUCAAAAACACGAAAAAACAGGAACAGGCACUUGGCACUGAAUCAAUAAGUUAGUCCCAAAAAAGAUAUAAAAAGGUACAUACAACAUACAAAGAAGGCAAGAUAAUAGCGUGAAACCAUCAAAAAUUAUAGAUACGUUUGAGACGUAUCAGCCACCCAGGGCAAGACUCCAGAUGAGAGUGGUUGCCGGUGGUACGAUGAGAGUGUCAUGGUUCACGCAAGUUUCGUUGGAGAAAUGCUGGUCCACCCGAACGGGAUCAUGAGGUCAGUGCUCCAGAGUGUGGGUAAAGUGUGCAACCUCUGCAGAGUGUCAAAUCUAUUCGAAUAGCCGAGUACAUGGUAUUGGACAGCCCGACCAGACCUCAGUAGUUGGUCAAUCCUGUUAAUAUUGUUAAUGAUGGAAGAACUCUUUGUAUGGUUGAAGAUGUUUGGAGAGCAAUCUGGGUGUCAUGAGACAACCCAGUCCUGAGUAAGUUGAUCCCUCAUAUAGUUGGUUAUAUGUUUAGUGUUGUUAUGCUUUGUUUGCUGCAUUACUUGGUUAUUGUGAGCUUGCGAGUACAUUCCAAGUACUCACCUAGCGUAUCAUGCCAGAUGCAGGAGAAGCCUCGGACGGAGGUCCCGAUGGUUCGUACUAGUAAGUGUCCACAACAGUGUCCGUGUGUGUGGAGUCUCCGCUAUGUUCUACUACGCCGUAGAAGUACCCAGUAGUUCCGAGGCCCAUGAUGAUGUCUCAUAAAUAAUGUAGAUACUGUUGCAGCAUCGAGGGUGCCUUUGGGCUCGCUAUUAUUGAAAGCUAUGUACGUGACACUAUCAAUAAAGUCGGCUCAUUUCUGUGUCAAGUUGUUGAGUGUUUCUAGAAGACGCGAUCUCUGGGCUAGAAACACUGGUAAUCUGGUUCUGCGAAUCGGGGUGCCACAACGCUUGGUAUCACAGCCACGUUGACUGUAGGACACCCUAGUUAGCCGCGCUAGUUCACGAGUAGUAUAGAGUCCUAGGCAAGCAUCUGCUUGUUGCAUAUUGAUUGUUGCACUUGAUUGCUCCAUGGCAUGCAUCAUAAUUCAUUGUUUCUCUAACCUUUGGCUUUGUGAGUGUAGAUGGCACCGAUUCCGUUCCAUUUCCAGUAUGAGCCUGCGCUACGGCAACAAAAGUCCUUCCCCGACGCUAGGAAUUCUUCUUGCUACUUCUCUUGUUUGCGUCGGUUUUUCCCUUGAUGAGGAAAGGGUAUGCAGCACAGGAGCAGUAAGUAUUUCCCUCAGUUUGAGAACCAAGGUAUCGAUCUAGAAGGAGGAUCUCGUCAAGUCCAGAGUACCUGCGGAAACACAAACAAGCUUGCACCCAACGCUUCAAAGGAGUUGUCAAUCCCUUCAAGAUUGUUUGCAAAGUGCGAUCUGAAGGCGGAAAGUGCAACAAAGUAAAAAGUGUAAAGCUGAAAAUAUGGUGUGGAGUAGACCCCGGGGCCAUAGUGUUCACUAGAGGCUUCUCUCAAAAUAGCAAAUAUCCCGGCGAGUGAACAAAUUACUGUCAAGCAAUUGAUAGAAUCGCGCAAAGUCAUGACGCUAUCUAAGGCAAUGAUCAUACAUAUAGGCAUCACGUCCGAGACAAGUAGACCGAUACUUUCUGCAUCUACUACUAUUACUCCACACAUCGACCGCUAUCCAGCAUGCAUCUAGUGUAUUGAGUUCAUGACGAACAGAGUAACGCCUUAAGCAAGAUGACAUGAUGUAGAUGGAUAAUCUCAAACCAGUGAUGAAAACCCCAUGUUUUUACCCUUGAUGGCAACAACACGAUACGUGCCUCGCUACCCCUUCUGUCACUGGGUGAGGUCACCGCACGGUAUGAACCCAAAACCAGGCACUUCUCCCAUUGCAAGAAUCAUAGAUCUAGUUGGCCAGACAAAACCCCCAGCUCGAAGAGAAUUACAAGGAUAUGAAAUCAUGCAUAAGAGAGAUAAGAAGAAACUCAAAUAAGAUUCAUAGAUAAUCUCAUCAUAAAUCCACAAUUCAUCGUAUCUCGACAAACACACCGCAAAAUAAGAUUACAUCGGAUAGAUCUCCAUGAAGAUCAUGGAGAACUUUGUAUUGAAGAUCCAAGAGAGAGAAGAAGCCAUCUAGAUACUAACGAUGGACCCGUAGGUCUAUGGUGAACUACUCACGCAUCAUCAGGGAGGUCAUGGCGUUUAUAAAUAAGCCCUCCAUGUCCGAAUCCCCCCUCCGGAUGGGCACCAGAACGUGCCCCAGAUGGGAUCUUGCGGAGACAGAAUCUUGCGGCGGCGGAAAAGUGAUUUUGAUGAUCUCCUGAUUUUUUGGGGAUUUUUAGGGAAUAUAUAGGCGCAACCCCUAGGGCAGAGGGCGCCCAGGGGGCCCGCAAGCCUGUGGGCCGUGGCCUACCCCCUGGCCGUGGGGUGGGGGAUUGUGGGGCCCCUGAGGCUCCCCUGCCUUGGCUCCCAAGCUUCCCGAUGUUAUUCCGUUAUGGAAAAAUCUUUUCGGGGAUUUCUUCCGUUUGGAUUCCGUUUCAAAAUUUCCACUGAAAGGGGUCAAAAACAUGGAAAAACAGGAACUGGCACUUGGCACCGAGUCAAUAAGUUAGUCCCAAAAACUAUAUAAAAUGCAUGCACAACAUCCAAAGUUUUACAAGAUAAUAGCAAGAAACCAUCAAAAAAUGUAGAUACGUUGGAGACGGAUCAAGCAUCCCCAAGCUUAACUCCUACUCGUCCUCGAGUAGGGAAGUGAUAAAGAAUGAAUUUUUGAUGUGGAAUGCUACCUAGCAUAGUUGUCCUUUGCAACUUCUUUCACGUGACAUGAAUGUUCAGAUCCGUAAGAUUCAAAACAAUAGUUUGCUAUUAACAUGAAAACAAUAAUACUUCAAGCAAACUAGCAAGGUAAUCUUGAACUUUCAAAAUAACAAGGCCAAGGAAAGUUAUCCCUACAAAAUCAUAUAGUCUGGCUAUGCUCCAUCAUCCUCACACAACUAAUGUAAAUCAUGCACAACCCCGGUAUUGGCCAAGUAAUUGUUCUCACACUCUUACUUUCUCAAACUUUUUAUAACUAUCACGCAAUACAUGAGCGUGAGCCAUGGAUAUAGCACUAUAAGUGGAAUAGAGUGUGGUGGUGGUUGUGAGACAAAAAGGAGGAGAUGGUCACAUUGACUCGGCAUAUCAAAGGGCUAUGAAGAUGCCCAUUAAUAGAUAUCAAUGUGAAUGAGUAGGGAUUGCCAUACAAGAGAUGCACUAGAGCUAUAAGUAUGUGAAAGUUCAAAAGGAAAACUAGUGGGUGUGCAUCCAACUUGCUUGCUCACGAAGACCUAGGGCAAUUUUGAGGAAGCCCAUCAUUGGAAUAUACAAGCCAAGUUAUAUAAUGAAGAUUCCCACUAGCAUAUGGUAGUGACAAAGCAAGAAGAUUUCAAUCAUGAAGAACAUGGUGCUAUCAUGAAGCACAAGUGUGGAAAAAGAUAGUAGCAUUGUUCCUUCUCUCUUUUUCUCUCUUCUUUUCAUUUGGGCUCUUAGGCCUCUCUUUUUUUAGGCUAUUUGGCCUCUUUUUUUUAUUUCCUCACAUGGGAUAAUGCUCUAAUAAUGAUGAUCAUCACACUUUUAUUUACUCACAGCUCAAAAUGAUGUUGACUCUAAAGGAAAUGCCUCCGGCAGUAUACCGGGAUGUGCAACGAUCUAGCAUGGCGUAUGACGUUGAAAACAUCUCGCUAGCUAUCUUACGAUCAUGGCAAUAUGAGAGUGAUGGCACAAGUCAUGAGAUGGAACGGUGGGAGUUGCAUGGCAAUAUAUCUCGGAAUGGCUAUGAAAAUGCCAUAGUAGGUAGGUAUGGUGGCUGUUUUGAGGAGGCCAUAUGGUGGGUUUGUGUACCGGAGAGAAUUGCCAGGCACUAGAGAGGCUACCAAUGGUGGAAGGUGAAAGUGCAUCUAUACCAUGGACUCACAUUAGUCAUGAAGAACUCACAUACUUGUUGCGAAAGUUUUUAUUAGUAAUCAAAACAAAGUGCUAAACGCAUACUCCUAGGGGAAGGGUUGGUAGGUGUUAACCAUCGCGCGAUCCCGACCUCAACACAAAGGAUGACAAUCAAUAGAUCAAUUAUGCUCCGACUUCCUAACAUAGCGGUUCAUCAUACGUGCAUGCUACGGGAAUCACUAACUNNNNNNNNNNNNNNNNNNNNNNNNNNNNNNNNNNNNNNNNNNNNNNNNNNNNNNNNNNNNNNNNNNNNNNNNNNNNNNNNNNNNNNNNNNNNNNNNNNNNCUUGGCACUGAGGUUCAAACGAUAAGAUCUUCGUAGAAUAUGUAGGAUCCAAUAUGGGCAUCCAGGUCCCACUGUUGGAUAUUGACCGAGGAGUCUCUCGGGUCAUGUCUACAUAGUUCUCGAACCCGCAGGGUCUGCACACUUAAGGUUCCACGUUGUUUUAUGCGUAUUUGAGUUAUAUGGUUGGUUACCGAAUGUUGUUCGGAGUCCCGGAUGAGAUCACGGACGUCACGAGGGUUUCCGGAAUGGUCCGGAAACGAAGAUUGAUAUAUAGGAUGACCUCAUUUGAUUACCGGAAGGUUUUCGGAGUUACCGGGAAUGUACCGGGAAUGACGAAUGGGUUCCGGGAGUUCACCGGAGGGGGGCAACCCACUCCGGGGAAGCCCAUAGGCAUUUGGGGGGUCACACCAGCCCUUAGUGGGCUGGUGGGACAGCCCACCAAUCCCCUAUGCGCCAAGAGAGAAAAAAUCAAAGGAAAAAAAAAGGAAGAAGUGGGAAGGGGGAAGGACUCCCUCCCACCAAACAAAGUAGGACUCGGUUUGGGGGGGGAGAGUCCUCCCCCCUGGCUCGGCCGACCCCUUGGGGAUCCCUUGGACCCCAAGGCAAGGUCCCCCUCCCUCCUCCUAUAUAUAUGGGGCUUUUAGGGCAGAUUUGAGACGACUUUCUCACGGCUGCCCGGCCACAUACCUCCAUAGUUUUUCCUCUAGAUCGCGUUUCUGCGGAGCUCGGGCGGAGCCCUGCUGAGACAAGAUCAUCACCAACCUCUGGAGCGCCGUCACGCUGCCGGAGAACUCUUCUACCUCUCCGUCUCUCUUGCUGGAUCAAGAAGGCCGAGAUCAUCGUCGAGCUGUACGUGUGCUGAACGCGGAGGUGCCGUCCAUUCGGUACUAGAUCGUGGGACUGAUCGCGGGAUUGUUCGCGGGGCGGAUCGAGGGACGUGAGGACGUUCCACUACAUCAACCGCGUUCUCUAACGCUUCUGCUGUACGAUCUACAAGGGUACGUAGAUCACUCAUCCCCUCUCGUAGAUGGACAUCACCAUGAUAGGUCUUCGUGCGCGUAGGAAAAUUUUUGUUUCCCAUGCGACGUUCCCCACAGUGGCAUCAUGAGCUAGGUUCAUGCUUAGAUGUCUUCUCGAGUAGAACACAAAAGCUUUUGUGGGCGGUGAUGUGCGUUUUGCUGCCCUCCUUAGUCUUUUCUUGAUUCCGCGGUAUUGUUGGAUUGAAGCGGCUUGGACCGACAUUACUCGUACGCUUACGAGAGACUGGUUUCAUCGUUACGAGUAACCCCCAUUGCUCAAAGAUGACUGGCAAGUGACGGUUUCUCCAACUUUAGUUGAAUCGGAUUUGACCGAGGAGGUCCUUGGAUGAGGUUAAAUAGCAACUCAUAUAUCUCCGUUGUGGUGUUUGCGUAAGUAAGAUGCGAUCCUACUAGAUACCCUUGGUCACCACGUAAAACAUGCAACAACAAAAUUAGAGGACGUCUAACUUGUUUUUGCAGGGUAUGAUUGUGAUGUGAUAUGGCCAAUGAUGUGAUGUGAUAUAUUGGAUGUAUGAGAUGAUCAUGUUGUAAUAGAAAUAUCGACUUGCACGUCGAUGGUACGGCAACCGGCAGGAGCCAUAGGGUUGUCUUUAUACUAACAUAUUUGUGCUUGCAGAUGCGUUUACUAUUUUGCUAGGAUGUAGUUUUAGUAGUAAUAGCAUAAGUAGCACGACAACCCCGAUGGCAACACGUUGGUGGAUGAUCAUGGUGUGGCGUCGGUGACAAAGAAGAUCGUGCCGGUGCUUUGGUGAUGGAGAUCAAGAAGCACGUGAUGAUGGCCAUAUCAUGUCACUUAUGAAUUGCAUGUGAUGUUAAUCCUUUUUGCACCUUAUUUUGCUUAGAACGACGGUAGCAUUACGAGGUGAUCUCUCACUAAAAUUUCAAGACGAAAUUGUGUUCUCCCCGACUGUGCACCGUUGCUACAGUUCGUCAUUUCGAGACACCACGUGAUGAUCGGGUGUGAUAGACUCAACGUUCACAUACAACGGGUGCAAAACAGUUGCGCACGUGGAACACUCGGGUUAAGCUUGACGAGCCUAGCAUGUGCAGACAUGGCCUCGGAACACAUGAGACCGAAAGGUCAAUCAUGAAUCAUAUAGUUGAUAUGAUUAGCAUAGGGAUGCUUACCACUGAAACUAUACUCAACUCACGUGAUGAUCGGACUUGGGAUAGUGUAAGUGGAUCAUGAACCACUCAAAUGACUAGAGAGAUGUACUUUUUGAGUGGGAGUUUAGCAUAUAAUUUGAUUAAGUUGAACUCUAAUUAUCUUGAACAUAGUCUAAGUCCACUUUGAAUAUAUUUGUGUUGUAGAUCAUGGCUCACGCAAGUGUCAUCCUGAAUUUUAAUACGUUCCUAGAGAAAGCUAAGUUGAAAGAUGAUGGAAGCAACUUUGUAGACUGGGCUCGUAAUCUUAAGCUAAUCUUACAAGCUGGAAAGAAGGAUUAUGUCCUUAAUGCUGCGCUAGGAGAUGAACCACCCGCUACGGCUGAUCAGGAUGUUAAGAACGCUUGGUUAGCGCGUAAGGAGGACUACUCAAUAGUUCAAUGUGCAGUCUUGUAUGGCUUGGAACCGGGACUUCAACGUCGCUUUGAGCGUCAUGGAGCAUUUGAGAUGUUCCAGGAGUUGAAGUUUAUCUUUCAGAAGAACGCCCGGAUCGAGAGGUAUGAGACCUCCGAUAAAUUCUAUGCUUGCAAGAUGGAGGAAAACUCGUCUGUCAGUGAACAUGUGCUCAAAAUGUCUGGGUACUCAAACCGUCUAGCUGAACUGGGGAUUGAACUCCCGCAAGAAGCUAUCACUGACAGAAUCCUUCAAUCACUGCCGCCAAGCUAUAAAGGCUUUGUGUUGAACUACAACAUGCAAGGGAUGAACAAGUCUCCCGGCGAGUUGUUUGCGAUGCUGAAAGUCGCAGAGUCUGAACUCCGUAAAGAGCAUCAAGUGUUGAUGGUGAGCAAGACCACUAGUUUCAAGAGAAACGGCAAAGGCAAGAAGGGCAAUUCGAAGAAGAGCGGCAAGCCUGUUGCCAAUCCGCCGAAGAAACCCAAGGCUGGACCUAAGCCUGAAACAGAGUGCUUCUAUUGCAAGGGUAUGGGUCACUGGAAGCGCAAUUGCCCCAAGUAUCUGGCAGAUAAGAAGGCGGGCAAAGAAAAAUCAGGUAUAUUUGAUAUACAUGUUAUUGAUGUGUACUUAACCGGCUCUCGUAGUAGUGCCUGGGUAUUCGAUACCGGUUCUGUUGCUCACAUUUGCAACUCGAAGCAGGAACUGCGGAAUAGACGAAGGCUGGCGAAAGACGAAGUGACGAUGCGCGUAGGAAACGGUUCCAAGGUUGAUGCAAUCGCCGUCGGCACCGUGUCACUUCAACUACCAUCGGGAUUAGUGAUGAACUUAAAUCAUUGUUAUUUAGUGCAUGCGUUGAGCAUGAACAUUAUAUCUGGAUCUUGUUUAUUGCGAGACGGUUACUCUUUUAAGUCUGAGAAUAAUGGUUGUUCUAUUUCUAUGAGUAACAUCUUUUAUGGUCAUGCACCGAAUGUGAGAGGAUUGUUCAUAUUGAAUCUCGAUAGCGAUACGCAUAUACAUAACAUUGAGACCAAAAGAGUUAGAGUAAACAAUGAUAGAGCCAUAUUUUUGUGGCACUGCCGCUUGGGUCAUAUUGGUGUAAAGCGCAUGAAGAAACUCCAUGCUGAUGGCUUUUGGAGUCACUUGACUUUGAUUCACUUGACACGUGCGAACCAUGCCUCAUGGGCAAGAUGACUAAAACUCCGUUCUCCGGAACAAUGGAGCGUGCAAGUGACUUGUUGGAAAUCAUACAUACCGAUGUGUGUGGUCCAAUGAGCAUGGAGGCACGCAGCGGAUAUCGUUAUUUUCUCACCUUCACUGACGAUUUAAGUAGAUAUGGUUAUGUCUACUUGAUGAAGCGCAAGUCUGAAACAUUUGAAAAGUUCCAGCAAUUUCAGAGUGAAGUAGAAAAUCAUCGUAACAAGAAGAUCAAGUUCCUACGGUCUGAUCUUGGGGGAGAAUAUCUGAGUUUCGAGUUUGGUACUCACUUAAGACAAUGUGGAAUUGUUUCGCAGUUGACACCGCCUGGAACACCACAGCGUAAUGGUGUGUCCGAACAUCGUAAUCGUACUUUGUUAGAGAUGGUGCGAUCUAUGAUGUCUCUUACUGAUUUGCCGUUAUCAUUUUGGGGUUAUGCAUUAGAAACAGCUGCAUUUACUUUAAAUAGGGCACCAUCAAAAUCCGUUGAGACGAAACCAUACGAACUAUGGUAUGGCAAAAGACCAAAGUUGUCGUUUCUUAAAGUUUGGGGAUGUGAUGCUUAUGUCAAAAAGCUUCAGCCUGAAAAGCUGGAACCCAAAGCGGAAAAGUGCGUCUUCAUAGGUUACCCAAAGGACACAGUUGGGUACACCUUCUAUCUCAAAUCCGAGGGCAAAGUGUUUGUUGCUAAAAACGGAACUUUUCUCGAGAAGGAGUUUCUCUCGAGAGAAUUGAGUGGGAGGAAGAUAGAACUUGACGAGGUUGUCGAACCUCUCAUUCCUCUGGAUGGUGGCGCAGGGCAAGGGGAAACCUCUGUCGUUGCUACGCCGGUUGAGGAGGAAGUUAAUGAUGAUGAUCAUGAGACUCCAGUUCAAGUUUCUGUUGAACCACGCAGGUCGACGAGAUCACGCACUGCUCCAGAGUGGUACGGUAAUCCCGUCUUAUCAAUCAUGUUGUUAGACAACAAUGAACCUGCAAAUUAUGAAGAAGCAAUGGUGGGUCCAGAUUCCAACAAAUGGCUAGAAGCCAUGAAAUCCGAGAUAGGAUCCAUGUAUGAGAACAAAGUGUGGACUUUGGAGAUGCUGCCUGAGGGCCGCAAGGCUAUUCAGAACAAAUGGAUCUUUAAGAAGAAGACGGACGCUGACGGUAAUGUGACCGUUUAUAAAGCUCGACUUGUGGCAAAGGGUUUUUCACAAGUUCCAGGAAUUGACUACGAUGAGACUUUCUCUCCCGUAGCGAUGCUUAAGUCCGUCAGAAUCAUGUUAGCAAUAGCUGCAUUUUUCGAUUAUGAAAUCUGGCAGAUGGAUGUCAAAACGGCGUUCCUUAACGGUUUCCUUAAGGAAGAGUUGUAUAUGAUGCAACCCGAAGGUUUUGUCGAUCCUAAAAAUGCUGACAAGGUGUGCAAGCUCCAGCGAUCCAUUUAUGGACUGGUGCAAGCGUCUCGGAGUUGGAACAAACGCUUUGAUGAGGUGAUCAAAGCAUUUGGGUUUAUACAAGUGGUUGGAGAAUCUUGUAUUUACAAGAAAGUGAGUGGGAGCUCUGUGGUGUUUCUCAUAUUAUAUGUGGAUGACAUAUUACUGAUUGGAAACAACGUAGAGCUUUUGGAGAGCAUAAAAGGUUACUUGAAUAAAAGUUUCUCUAUGAAGGACCUAGGAGAAGCUGCUUACAUUCUAGGCAUUAAGAUCUAUAGGGAUAGAUCGAAACGCCUGAUAGGACUUUCACAAAGCACAUACCUUGAUAAAGUUUUGAAGAGGUUCAAAAUGGAACAGUCCAAGAAAGGGUUCUUGCCAGUGUUACAAGGUACGAGAUUGAGUAAGACUCAGUGCCCAGCAACUGAUGAAGAUAGAGAGCAUAUGCGCUCCGUCCCCUAUGCUUCAACCAUAGGCUCUAUCAUGUAUGCAAUGCUGUGCACUAGACCGGAUGUUAGCCUGGCCAUAAGUAUGGCAGGUAGGUUCCAGAGUAAUCCAGGAGUGGAUCACUGGACGGCGGUCAAGAAUAUCCUGAAGUACCUGAAAAGGACUAAGGAGAUGUUUCUCGUGUAUGGAGGUGACGAAGAGCUCGCCGUAAAAGGUUACGUUGAUGCAAGCUUUGACACAGAUCCGGACGACUCUAAGUCGCAAACCGGAUACGUAUUUAUUCUUAAUGGGGGUGCAGUAAGCUGGUGCAGUUCCAAGCAAAGCGUCGUAGCAGAUUCUACAUGUGAAGCAGAGUACAUGGCUGCCUCGGAGGCGGCUAAGGAGGGUGUCUGGAUGAAGCAGUUCAUGACGGAUCUUGGAGUGGUGCCAAGUGCACUGGAUCCAAUAACCUUGUUCUGUGACAACACUGGUGCCAUUGCCUUAGCAAAGGAACCAAGGUUUCACAAGAAGACCAGACACAUCAAACGACGCUUCAACCUCAUCCGCGACUACGUCGAGGAGGAGGACGUAAAUAUAUGCAAAGUGCACACGGAUCUGAAUGUAGCAGACCCGCUGACUAAGCCUCUUCCACGGCCAAAACAUGAUCGACACCAGAACUGUAUGGGUGUUAGAUUUAUUACAAUGUAAUUCACAUGGUGAUGUGAGGGCUAGAUUAUUGACUCUAGUGCAAGUGGGAGACUGUUGGAAUUAUGCCCUAGAGGCAAUAAUAAAUGUAUAGUUAUUAUUAUAAUUCCUGUAUCAAGAUAAUAGUUUAUUAUCCAUGCUAUAAUUGUAUUGAAUGAAGACUCAUUUACAUGUGUGGAUACAUAGACAAAACACCGUCCCUAGCAUGCCUCUAGUUGGCUAGCCAGUUGAUCGAUGAUAGUCAGUGUCUUCUGAUUAUGAACAAGGUGUUGUUGCUUGAUAACUGGAUCACGUCAUUGGGAGAAUCACGUGAUGGACUAGACCCAAACUAAUAGACGUAGCAUGUUGAUCGUGUCAUUUUGUUGCUACUGUUUUCUGCGUGUCAAGUAUUUAUUCCUAUGACCAUGAGAUCAUAUAACUCACUGACACUGGAGGAAUGCUUUGUGUGUAUCAAACGUCGCAACGUAACUGGGUGACUAUAAAGAUGCUCUACAGGUAUCUCCGAAGGUGUUAGUUGAGUUAGUAUGGAUCGAGACUGGGAUUUGUCACUCCGUGUGACGGAGAGGUAUCUCGGGGCCCACUCGGUAAUACAACAUCACACACAAGCCUUGCAAGCAAUGUAACUUAGUGUAAGUUGNNNNNNNNNNNNNNNNNNNNNNNNNNNNNNNNNNNNNNNNNNNNNNNNNNNNNNNNNNNNNNNNNNNNNNNNNNNNNNNNNNNNNNNNNNNNNNNNNNNNUAGGAUGACCUCAUUUGAUUACCGGAAGGUUUUCGGAGUUACCGGGAAUGUACCGGGAAUGACGAAUGGGUUCCGAGAGUUCACCGGAGGGGGGCAACCCACUCCGGGGAAGCCCAUAGGCAUUUGGGGGGUCACACCAGCCCUUAGUGGGCUGGUGGGACAGCCCACCAAUCCCCUAUGCGCCAAGAGAGAAAAAAUCAAAGGAAAGAAAAAAAAAGGAAGAAGUGGGAAGGGGGAAGGACUCCCUCCCACCAAACCAAGUAGGACUCGGUUUGGGGGGGGAGAGUCCUCCCCCCUGGCUCAGCCGACCCCUUGGGGAUCCCUUGGACCCCAAGGCAAGGUCCCCCUCCCUCCUCCAAUAUAUAUGGGGAUAUUAGGGCUGAUUUGAGACGACUUUCUCACGGCUGCCCGACCACAUACCUCCAUAGUUUUUCCUCUAGAUCGCGUUUCUGCGGAGCUCGGGCGGAGCCUUGCUGAGACAAGAUCAUCACCAACCUCCGGAGCGCCGUCACGCUGCCGGAGAACUCUUCUACCUCUCCGUCUCUCUUGCUGGAUCAAGAAGGCCGAGAUCAUCGUCGAGCUGUACGUGUGCUGAACGCGGAGGUGCGGUCCGUUCGGUACUAGAUCGUGGGACUGAUCGCGGGAUUGUUCGCGGGGCGGAUCGAGGGACGUGAGGACGUUCCACUACAUCAACCGCGUUCUCUAACGCUUCUGCUGUACGAUCUACAAGGGUACGUAGAUCACUCAUCCCCUCUCGUAGAUGGACAUCACCAUGAUAGGUCUUCGUGCGCGUAGGAAAAUUUUUGUUUCCCAUGCGACGUUCCCCAACACUAACUUCAACACAAGUAUCUCUAGAUUCACAACACCCUACUAACAUAGCUCUCUAUAUUACCGAAUCCACGUCUCAAAACUAAUUGAGAGGAAUCGAAACUUCUCUUUUUACUCAAUGCACAUGCAGAUGGAGGUUUUUGCAUCCUCUUUGGGUACCUAUCACAUCCGGGACUACUUUCAUAGCAUAAGCCAACUACCAAAUCACGCACCGCCGUGCUCUAAAAGAUAUAAGUGAAGCACUAGAGCAAAAGUAUCUAGCUCAAAAGAUAUAAGUGAAGCACUAUGAGCAUUCUAGCAAAAUCAUGAUGAGUGCAUGUCUAUCUCUCUAAAAAAGGUGUUCAGAAAGGAUGAUUGUGACACAACAAAAAGAAAAGACUCCUAUGAUACAAGACGCUCCAAGCAAAACACAUAUCAUGUGGUGAAUAAAAAUAUAGCUCCAAGUAAUGUUACCGAUGGAUUGAAGACGAAAGAGGGGUUGCCUUCCUGGGGCAUCCCCAAGCUUAGGCUUUUUGGUGUCCUCGAAUUUGGCUUGGGAUGCCUUGGGCAUCCCCAAGCUUGAGCUCUUUCCACUCCUUAUCUCAUCGUCCAUGAGAACAUCACCCAAAACUUGAAAACUUCACAACACAAAACUUAAACAGAAACUCGUGAUAACGUUAGUACAAGAAAACAAACUACCACUUCUUUUGGUACUGUAGCAAACUUGAAUUCCAUCUAUAUUGGUGUUGGGUUACUGUAUCCUCACUUUUCCACGGAUAGUACCCCCCGAUACUAACCAUAGUUUCAUGAAAACAAGCAACCAACUCAACAAAAACAGAAUCUGUCAAAAACAUACCAGUCUGGAGCAAUCUGUAUACUACGUAUACUUCUGUUACCUGGAAAAAUCUGAAAAAUUACGACGGCCUGGGAAAAAAGCAUAUCAACCAUAAUAAAAAAGAAUCAACUCAAAAUAUCUUUCUGAAUAAAAAUUAAAAAUCAUCUUGUGAGCAAAAAGUUUCUGUCUUUUNNNNNNNNNNNNNNNNNNNNNNNNNNNNNNNNNNNNNNNNNNNNNNNNNNNNNNNCAGCAGGAUCAAACAACCAUUACCAAGACUAGUCAUAGAGGUUUUGCUUGGCUCAAACACAAAAAGAAACACAAAAAAACACAAUCACAACAGAAUUGUGAUGGUGUGGACACAACAAAACAUAAAUAAAAAAGAUAAAUUCAUUCGGUUGCCUCCCAACAAGCGUUAUUGUUUUAACGCCCUUAGCUAGGUAUAAAAGCGAUAGAAUCACGUAUCGUCGUAUUUGGUGCUCAAACCAUAAAUGGCCCUCAUCAUGGAUUCAUAAGGCAAUCUUAUUUUCUUUCUAGUAAAGUGUUCCAUGCCCUUCCUUCAUAUCGAUGAUAGCACCGAUAGUCCUUAGGAAAGGUCUAUCAAGAAUAAUAGCGCAAGUAGGAUUGCAAUCAAUGUCAAGCACAAUGAAAUCCACGGGUACAGAGUUCCUAUUUGCAAUAAUAAGAACAUCAUUGAUCCUUCCCAUGGGUUUCUUGACAGUAGAAUCAGCAAGAUGCAAAUUAAGAGAACACUCUUCAAUCUCAUUAAAACCCAGAACAUCACAUAAAGACUUUGGUAUCGUAGAAACACUAGCACCCAAAUAACACAAAGCGUUGCACUCAUAGUUUUUGAGUUUGAUUUUGAUGGUAGGUUCCCACUCAUCAUGAAGAUUUCUAGGGAUAGAGACUUCCAAUUCAAGUUUCUCUUCAAGAGAUUUUAUCAUAGCUUCGACGAUAUGAUCGGUAAAGGCCUUGUUUUGGCUAUAAGCGUGUGGAGAGUUUAACAUGGAUUGCAUCAAAGAAAUGCAUUCAAUCAAGGAGCAACUAUCAUAAUUGAAUUCCUUGAAAUCCACGAUAGUAAUUUCAUUACUACUCAAAGUUUUAACAUUUUCUACUCCACUUUCAAUGCUUUUAGCAUCAAGAUAGAUGGACUCUGAAUCACUGGGGCACUUUUCAACCAAAGUGGAUUCAUAUCCAGCCCCAUAAUCAUUAGGUUUGACACAAGAAAACAAAGAUUCAAUGGGAGUCACACCAAGCACUUUAGGAUCUUCGUGAUUCUCAUCACGAGAACACGCCUUUUAAGCCAUUCAUGUCUAGCACGAAUUUUGGCGGUUCUUUCUUGGCUCUCAAUCAUGGAAACACGCAUAGCUUUCAAAGUUUCAACCAUGUUGAUUUUAGGAGGAGCACAUCUAACUUUCAAAUCAUCAACAUCACUAGACAUUCUAUCAACGCUCUUAGCCAAAUCGUCAAUUUUGAGUAGCUUUUCCUCUAUGGACGCAUUGAAAAUCUUUUGAGAGUUGAUGAACUCUUUGAUAUUACUCUCUAGAUCAGAGGGUAAUCUAUUGUAAUUUCCAUGGGUAUUGUUGUAGGAGUUGCCAAAGUUAUUAGAGGAGUUACCACGAAAAGGCCUAGGAACAUAGUUUCCUCUAAAAGCAUUGUUGUUGCCAAAGUUAUUCCUACCAACAAAAUUAACGUGCAAGCUAGCGUUGCUACUCUCAAUCAAAGAAGACAAAGGCAUAUCAUUAGGAUCCAAAGGAGCACUUCUACUAGCAACCAAAUUCAUUAACUCGUCCAUCUUAGCACUCAACGAGUUAAUUUCUUCUAUAGCGUGUACCUUCUUACUAGUAGGUGACCUUUCAGUGUGCCACUGAGAGUAGUUCGUCAUGAUGUUGUCUAAGAGCUUUGUGGCUUCUCCUAACGUGAUUUCCAUGAACGUUCCACCUGAGGCGGAGUCCAAGAUAUUUCUAGAAGCAAAAUUCAAGCGAGCGUAAAAGAUUUGAAUAAUCAUCCAAAGGCUCAAGCCAUGAGCGGGACAAUUUCUAAUCAUUAAUUUCAUUCUCUCCCAAGCUUGUGCAACAUGUUCAUGAUCAAGUUAGUUGAAAUUCAUGAUAUCAUUCCAGAGAGAGAUGAUCUUAGCCGGCGGAAAAUACUUGGAUAUAUAAGCAUCUUUGAACUUAUCCCAAGAAUCGAUACUAUUUUUGGGCAAAGAAGAAAACCAAGUUUUUGCGCGAUCUCGCAGGGAGAAAGGAAAAAGCUUCAAUUUAAUCAUGUCAGUAUCCACAUCUUUCUUCUUUUGCAUAUCGCAAAGCUCAAUGAAGGUAUUGAGAUGGGAUGCGGCAUCUUCACUAGGAAGGCCAGAAAAUUGCUCUUUCAUAACAAGAUUCAGCAAAGCGGCAUUGAUUUCGUAUGACUCCGCACUAGUGGCGGGAGCAAUCGGAGUACUAAUAAAAUCAUUAUUAUUAGUAUUCCAGAAGUCACAAAGUUUGGUGUUUUCGUUCAUGGUGACUUUAGCAAGCAAGCAAGCACACAAGCAAAAAAAGAGCAGGCGAGAAAAAGGGCGAACGAAAAAGGCAAAUUGGUGAAGUGGGGGAGAGGAAAACGAGAGGCAACUCGCAAACAAAGUAAAUGCAAGAGAUGAGUUUGCGACACCUACUUGGAUGAGUUCUUGACUUGAUCUUCCUCCCCGACAACGGCGCCAGAAAUUCUUCUGCUACGACAACAAAAGUCCUUCCUCGGCGCUAGGAAUUCUUCCUGCUACUUCUCUUGUUUGCGUCGGUUUUUCCCUUGAAGAGGAAAGGGUGAUGCAGCAGAGGAGCAGUAAGUAUUUCCCUCAGUUUGAGAACCAAGGUAUCGAUCCAGAAGGAGGGUCCCGUCAAGUCCACAAUACAUGCGCAAACACAAACAAGCUUGCACGCAACGCUUCAAAGGGGUUGUCAAUCCCUUCAAGAUUGUUUGCAGAGUGAGAUCUGAAGGCAGAAAGUGCAACGAGGUAAAAAGUGUAAAGCUGAAAAUAUGGUGUGGAGUAGACCCGGGGGCCAUAGUGUUCACUAGAGGCUUCUCUCAAAAUAGCAAAUAUCACGGUGGGUGAACAAAUUACUGUCGAGCAAUUGAUAGAACCGUGCAAAGUCAUGACGAUAUCUAAGGCAAUGAUCAUACAUAUAGGCAUCAAAAAUAUCAUGGUGGGUGAACAAAUUACUGUCGAGCAAUUGAUAGAACCGCGCAAAGUCAUGACGAUAUCUAAGGCAAUGAUCAUACAUAUAGGCAUCACGUCCGAGACAAGUAGACCGAUACUUUCUGCAUCUACUACUAUUACUCCACACAUCGACCGCUAUCCAGCAUGCAUCUAGUGUAUUGAGUUCAUGACAAACACAGUAACGCCUUAAGCAAGAUGACAUGAUGUAGAGGGAUAAUCUCAAACCAAUGAUGAAAAACCCAUCUUUUUACCCUUGAUGGCAAAAACACGAUGUGUGCCUCGCUACCCCUUCUGUCACUCGGUGAGGUCACCGCACGGUAUGAACCCAAAACCAAGCACUUCUCCCAUUGCAAGAAUCAUAGAUCUAGUUGGCCAGACAAAACCCACAACUCGAAGAGAAUUACAAGGAUAUGAAAUCAUGCAUAAGAGAGAUCAGAAGAAACUCAAAUAAGAUUCAUAGAUAAUCUGAUCAUAUAUCCACAAUUCAUCGGAUCUCGACAAACACACCGCAUAAGAAGAUUACAUCAGAUAGAUCUCCAUGAAGAUGAUGGAGAACUUUGUAUUGAAGAUCCAAGAGAAAGAAGAAGCCAUCUAGAUACUAAUUAUGGACUCGUAGGUCUAUGGUGAACUACUCACGCAUCAUCGGAGAGGUCAUGGUGAACACACCGCAAAAGAAGAUUACAUCGGAUAGAUCUCCAUGAAGAUCAUGGAGAACUUUGUAUUGAAGAUCCAAGAGAGAGAAGAAGCCAUCUAGCUACUAGCUAUGGACCCGAAGGUCUAUGGUGAACUACUCACGCAUCAUCGGAGAGGCAAUGGUGUUGAUGAAGAAGCCCUCCGUGUCCGAAUCCCCCCUCCAGCAGGGCACCAGAACGUGCCCAUACAUCAGAUAGAUCUCCAUGAAGAUGAUGGAGAACUUUGUAUUGAAGAUCCAAGAGAAAGAAGAAGCCAUCUAGAUACUAAUUAUGGACUCGUAGGUCUAUGGUGAACUACUCACGCAUCAUCGGAGAGGUCAUGGUGUUGAUGAAGAAGCCCUCCAUUUCCGAAUCCCCCCUCCAGCAGGGCACUAGAACGUGCCCCGGAUGGGAUCUUGCGGAGACAGAAGCUUGCAGCGGCGGAAAAGUGAUUUUGAUGAUCUCUUGAUUUUUUUUGGGAUUUUUAGGGAAUAUAUAGGCGCAACCCCUAGGGCAGAGGGCGCCCAGGGGGCCCACAAGCCUGUGGGCCGCGGCCUACCCCAUGGUCGCGGGGUGGGGGCUUGUGGGGCCCCUGAGGCUCCCCUGCCUUGGCUCCCAAGCUUCCCGAUCUUCUUCCGUUAUGAAAAAAAAUCUUUUCGGGGAUUUUUUUCCGUUUGGACUGCGUUUCAAAAUCUCCUCUGAAAGGGGUCAAAAACAUGGAAAAACAGGAACUCGCACUUGGCACUGAGUGAAUAAGUUGGUCCCAAAAAAUAUAUAAAAGGCAUGCAAAACAUCCAAAGUUUGACAAGAUAAUAGCAUGAAACCAUAAAAAUUUAUAGAUACGUUGGAGACGUAUCAAGCAUCCCAAAGCUUAACUCCUGCUCGUCCUCGAGUAGGGAAGUGGUAAAGAAUGAAUUUUUGAUGUGGAAUGCUAUCUAGCAUAGUUGUCCUUUGCAACUUCUUUCACUUGACAUGAAUGUUCAGAUCCGUAAGAUUCAAAACAAUAGUUUGCUAUUAACAUGAAAACAAUAAUACUUCAAGCAAACUAGCAAGGUAAUCAUGAACUUUCAAAAUAACAAGGCCAAGGAAAGUUAUCCCUACAAAAUCAUAUAGUCUGGCUAUGCUCCUUCAUCCUCACACAACUAAUGUAAAUCAUGCACAACCCCGGUAUUGGCCAAGUAAUUGUUUUCGCACUCUUACUUUCUCAAACUUUUUAUAACUAUCACGCAAUACAUGAGCGUGAGCCAUGGAUAUAGCACUAUAAUUGUAAUAGAGUGUGGUGGUGGUUGUGAGACAAAAAGAGGAGAUGGUCACAUUGACUCAGCAUAUCAAAGGGCUAUGGAGAUGCCCAUUAAUAGAUAUCAAUGUGAAUGAGUAGGGAUUGCCAUACAAGAGAUGCACUAGAGCUAUAAGUAUGUGAUAACUCAAAAGGAAAACUAGUGGGUGUGCAUCCAACUUGCUUGCUCACGAAGACCUAGGGCAAUUUUGAGGAAGCCCAUCAUUGGAAUAUACAAGCCAAGUUAUAUAAUGAAGAUUCCCACUAGCAUAUGGUAGUGACAAAGCAAGAAGCUUUCAAUCAUGAAGAACAUGGUGCUAUCAUGAAGCACAAGUGUGGAAAAAGAUAGUAGCAUUGUCCCUUCUCUCCUUUUCUCUUUUUUUUCAUUUGGGCUCUUAGGCCUCUCUUUUUUAUUUUAUUUUCUUUUUUUGUUUUUGGGCUCUUUGGCCUCUUUUUUUCCUCACAUGGUACAAUGCUCUAAUAAUGAUGAUCAUCACACUUUUAUUUACUCACAGCUCAAAAUGAUGAUGACUCUAAAGGAAAUGCCUCCGGUAGUAUACCGGGAUGUGCAACGAUCUAGCAUGGCGUAUGACGUUGAAAACAUCUCACUAGCUAUCUUACAAUCAUGCAAUGGCAAUAUGAGAGUGAUGGCACAAGUCAUGAGACGGAACGGUGGGAGUUGCAUGGCAAUAUAUCUCGGAAUGGCUAUGAAAAUGCCAUAGUAGGUAGGUAUGGUGGCUGUUUUGAGGAUGGCAUAUGGUGGGUUUGUGUACCGGCGAGAAUUGCAUGGCACUAGAGAGGCUAGCAAUGGUGGAAGGUGAAAGUGCAUCUAUACCAUGGACUCACAUUAGUCAUGAAGAACUCACAUACUUGUUGCGAAAGUGUUUAUUAGUAAUCGAAACAAAGUGCUAAACGCAUACUCCUAGGGGAAGGGUUGGUAGGUGUUAACCAUCGCGCGAUCCCGACCUCAACACAAAGGAUGACAAUCAAUAGAUCAAUUAUGCUCCGACUUCCUAACAUAGCGGUUCAUCAUACGUGCAUGCUACGGGAAUCACUAACUUCAACACAAGUAUCUCUAGAUUCACAACACCCUACUAAUAUAGCUCUCAAUAUUACCGAAUUCACAACACCCUACUAACGUCCCACCAGGCGCUUUGUCUCGCAGCCGCCGUGAGACUCCUGCUGAGUGGGCCUCACUCUUUGCCACUCCUGCUGCUCCGAUGUUGAGGCGUCGUGUUCCUCCUUCCCUGGAAGCAGGACCGUCCCGUCAGCGACGCCGUGUUUCCUUUGGUCCGCAAGAUGAGGUCAACAUCAUCAGUUGCGACUCUAACUCAGGAUCUGAUGAUGAGGAGUCUUCGAUCUUUCAGUGCCCGUACCAUCCGCGCCACUAGAGUCGAGGUUGGAGUUGCCGAGAAUGCAUCGUUGCAUAUGUCAACUGCCGUAUGAGCAGUCAAGUCAUGAUAUUUCCCCUACUAUCUUGUCAUGAAUAAUGUUGAGUCUUAUUGUAUAAUUAUGUUGUUGUUUAUUCGCUUUACCGUGCAAACUUUUUCUUGGUGUUUUACGACCAGGCUUUCCCUUAUGGAUGUUUCUCAUCGACUCGGUGUUUGGCAUUGGGAACAAUAAUUUAGGAUGAAGGGAAGAUGUAGCCAUGGCAACGAUGGAGCCCCCAUCCGUCGAUCCGCCACGCAGGCAGGACAGCCUCCCAAAGAUCUACCACCUCCACCAGCUCAAGCACCCACCACUGAACAUAUUAUGAGAAUGUUUGAGGAAAAGAGAAACCAGAACUCAUGGAAUUUCUGAGAAGUAUGCAGGCCAUGGUAGGCCAGGACAACAACAAUGGGGCACGGUCCAAAUUGUCAGACUUCCAGCGUACCAAACCUCCCAAUUUUGGCCAAGCAGCAGACCCAAUUGAAGCUGAUGACUGGCUCUAGACAUAACCCGUUGUGAUGAGGUGGAUAAGGUUCCUUUUUCCACCCACUAUCUUGAAGGGCCGACAGCUAUAUGGUGGGACAACGCAAAGGCAGCAUGGCCAUAUGGAGAAGAAAUUACGUGGGAAAUAUUCAAGGAAGCAUUUCACAACUAUCAUAUCCUUACGGGCAUAAUGAAGGUAAAGCAGAGAGAAUUCCUGGUCCUUACACAAGGAGGCAUGACUGUGGCCGAGUAUCUGAAUAAGUUCAACAAUCAGGCACGAUACUCCACUCAUGAUGUAUCCACUGAGGAAAGGAAGGUUGUCGCUUCCUAGGAGGUCUAAAUCAUACCCUCCGUUGUCAGCUCUGCAUGCUGGACUUUCCAGACUUCCAGACGCUUGUAAACAAGGAUUUCAUAGCUGAACGAGAGCUUAAGACUGGGUACGAGGAUCGCAAGAGGAAGUUUGAACCAAAAAGGGACAACAAGGAGCAGGUUGUACAGAAGCCGCGUACCUGGCAACCCAACACUACUGUAUACAAGGCCUUCGGCAAACAACCGGUCCUAGAGGAUUGCCGCCGCAAUAACACUUGUUUCACUUGGAGCCAAAGCGGGCACUAUGCAAGGUACUGCCCCACCAACAAUGGAAAAAUAUCCUCUGACGUCAAGCCGCAGGUCAAAACCAUUGGAAGCCAUCCUAACCCCAAGUACACGCAAGGGCGCGUCUUCCACAUCUCCGUCGAGGAAGCGUGCAAAGCCCCAGACGUGAUUAUCGAUAUGUUUCCUGUUAAUAACAUACACAUGGUAGUUUUAUUUGAUCCAGGGGCUUCCCACUCUUUUAUUUCGAGGAAUUUUGCCGCCUUGCACAAAUUUUCCCCUUCGCUGUUGGAUAAGAUCAUGGUGAUACAAUCCCUUGGCUCUCGGCUCAGAACAAAUCUCGUAUACCAAGAUCUGGAAAUACUUACACAAGGGGCCGCAUUCCCAGCUGCACUCAUUGCUAUUGAGUCUCCAGGACUGGAUGUGAUACUUGGGAUGGACUGGUUGACACCCCAUCAAGUGUGUAUCAACUGCGCUAACCGAACCGUCACGCUGGUCAAUCGGGCCGGACAAACCGUCCAAUUUUUGGCCAACAACAUGAAGUCAAGGAAAGGGAUGGCAUAUCAUACCGAAGUCACGAACAUGAAUUUGAUUCCAGUGGUAUGUGAGUUCCCGGACGUAUUCCCAUAGGAAUUACCCGGAAUGCCGCCCGAUCGGGAACUGGAAUUCGCAAUGGAGUUGGUUCCUGGCACUGCCCCAAUCUACAAGAAAUACUAUCGUAUGCCAGGACCUGAGUUGGCCGAAUUAAUGAAGCAGUUGGACGAAUUAGUACAGAAGGGAUACAUCCGUCAAAGCAUCUCACCAUGGGGAUCACCAAUACUGUUCGUCAAUAAAAAGGAUGGAAGCUUGCGAAUGUGCAUAGACUACCGCCGACUUAAUGAGGUCACUAUUAAAAAUAAGUACCCGCUCCCACGCAUCGACGAUUUGUUCGACCAGCUGAGUGGGGCACGAGUAUUUUCCAAAAUUAACCUCAGGACUGGGUAUCAUUAGCUAAAGAUGAAGAAAGAGGAUAUACCCAAGACAGUGUUUGCCACCCGAUAUGGCAUGUAUGAAUUUACGGUCAUGUCAUUUGGACUAACAAAUGCUCCCUCUUACUUUAUGAGCAUGAUGAACAAAGUCUUCAUGGAUUUCCUAGACAAAUUCGUGGUGGUGUUCGUAGAAGAUAUCCUGAUAUACUCCAAGGAUGAAGAGGAGCACAAGCAACACCUCAGAGUUGUCUUGGAAAGACUGAGAUCCCAUCAACUGUAUGCCAAGUUCAGCAAGUGCGAGUUUUGGCUAAAGGAAGUAGGAUUUUUGGGGGCAUAUCCUGUUAGAGCAAGGGGUGGCAGUUGAUCCCAGUAAGGUAACAACAGUACUGAACUGGAAGACACCAGUCUCAGUGACCGAAGUCCGUAGCUUCCUGGGAUUGGCAGGCUACUACCGACGGUUUAUAGAUGGCUUCUCUAAGAUAGUCAAGCCGCUAACACAGCUGCUAAAGAAGAAUCAGAAAUAUGUCUGGACAACAGCAUGCGAGAGCAGCUUCCUGGAUCUAAAGACCAGACUAACGACAACACCUGUCCUAGUCCUUUCGAACAUUCACAAGAGUUUUUGACAUUUAUUGUGAUGCUUCCCGAAGAGGAAUCGGCUGUAUACUGAUGCAAGAAGGAAAGGUUGUGACCUAAGCCUCCCGACAACUACGACCGGAUGAGGAGAACUAUCCCACACAUGAGUAUGAGCUAGCAGUCGUGGUACAUGCCUUAAAGAUUUGGAGGCAUUACCUCAUUGGCCAACGAUGUGAGAUAUUCACACACCACAAAAGUCUCAAGUACAUCUUUACCCAGCCAGAUCUGAAUCCCAGACAACGGCGAUGGCUUGAGCUAGUCAAGGACUACGACCUGCGAAUCAAUUAUCGCCCAGGAAAAGCCAAUGUGGUGGCAGACGCUCUGAUUAGGAAGCCAAUCACGGUGAAUGUGUUAACAGUAAGUAUUCACCCAAGAUUGCAAGAAGAAUUCACAAGUCUCAACAUGAUACUCUGUGGUCCAGCCACUCUAGACACGCUAGAUAUUACCCCCACCCUGAUAGAAGAGAUCAAGGAAGCACAAGAAAGGGACGAGGGAAUCAAGAGAAACAAAGCAUCGCUUCCACAACGGAAGGACGAAUCCUUUCGACUAGACGACCAAGGCAUCUUGUGGUUUGAGAAACGGAUCUGCGUUCCUGACCAGGAUAGCCUGAGACAGCAAAUACUCAGGGAAGCGCAUGAUUCCGCAUAUUCUAUUCAUCCAGGAGGUACGAAGAUGUACCAAGAUCUAAGAAGGACAUUUGGUGGUGAGGAAUGCGGAGAUACAUGGCAUAUUAUGUCGCCUGUUGUGAUGUUUGCAAUAAGGUAAAAGUGGAACAUCAAAAGCCCGCCGGAUUACUGCAACCUUUAUCGGUUCCCCAAUGGAAAUGGGAUGACAUAUGUAUGGACUUCGUUGUCGGACUACCUGAGUCCACAUGGGGCAAUGAUGCUAUCUGGGUCAUCGUGGACAUGCUCACUAAGGUAGCCCACUUUAUCCCAGUGAAAACUACCUUUAAUGCCAACCAGCUGGCACAAUUAUACAUGUCCCGGAUAGUAAGCCUACAUGCAGUACCCAAGUCCAUCACAUCCGAUAGAGGCUCUCUAUUCACCUCAGCAUUCUGGCUACGAUUACAUCAAGCCUUGUGAACCAUGUUAAAUCACAACACAGCAUACCAUCCUCAGACUGAUGGGCAGACUGAAAGGGUGAACCAAAUUUGGAAGACAUGCUUCGGUCAUGCGCUCUCACCCAUGGACCCAAAUGGGAAUAUAGCUUACCCUAUGCGGCUACAACAAUAGCUAUCAGACGAGCCUGAAGAUGUCACCCUUUGAGGCAUUGUAUGGCAGAAAGUGCCGAACCCCGUUGAAUUGGUCACAAACAGGAGACAGUCGCAACUUCGGAACCGACUUGAUGCUGGAGGUCGAGAAACAGGUCAAAGACAUUCAGGAACGCCUCAAGGCAGCUAAGUCCCGCCAAAAGAGCUAUUAUGACCCAAAGCACCGAGAAGUGACCUUUGAACCAGGAGAAUAUGCCUAUCUCCAAGUAACCCCCAUGAAAGGAGUGAGAAGGUUUCACACUCGAGGGAAGCUUGCACCGAGAUAUAUCGGUCCCUUUCUAGUGAUCGCGAGAAGAGGCAGAGUUGCCUAUCAGUUGGAAUUACCACCCGAACUGUCACAUGUGCACGACGUUUUUCACAUCUCGCAACUAAGGAAGUGUAUCGCACCGCCAGUAAAGUAGGCAGAUAUGAGCGAGUUAGAACUGGCUAAGGACUUGACCUAUGAGGAAAAGCCGGUCAGAAUUUUGGACGAGAUGGAAAGGACCACCCAGAGCAAAGUGCUUAAAUUUUAUAAGGUACUAUGGGAGCACCAUACCGAAGAAGAAGCUACUUGGGAGAUGGAAGAUUUUCUGAGAUCUGCAUAUCCAUACUUGUUCCCUGAGCAACCGAAUCUCGAGGACAAGAUUCAUUCUAAGGGGGGUAGGUUUGUAACACCCUGAUUUUUCAAACUUCUUCUUUUCAAAAUAUUUUGGAUUUCCAUUUGCAAGUUGAUGGAUUUUCAAACCAUUUCAACCAAGAUGGGUUCUAAGCCCGCGAUUUCUUGCCCCCAAGCAGCUCAAGAUCUUUCACAACUUGCCAAAAACCUUUCUGAGAUUUAUUUGCAAUAUUUUAUUACUCCAAAUAAUUCUCUUUCUAUUUUGGGAAUUAUGGCAUCACUAUGGGUUGUGAAGCAAACUUAAGCUUGGAUGAGCUUUAAGUCCCAAAACUUUUACAACAUCUUCUCAAUACCAUAUGAUUUCAAAAUAUUCAAAAAUAUUUCUUUGUCCAAUGGAGAAUUUUGGCCAGAACAAUUAUUCUUUUCUGACCAGAAUUGUCCCUUUGUGAAGCAACCCCAUGAUUCCUGUUUUAGAAAAUUCCCAAUAAAUUCCUAUAGUUACUAGGGAUCAUAUAUAGUUCCAAUAUGUAAAAACAUCCAAUGGUCCAAUACAAAUUUUCAGNNNNNNNNNNNNNNNNNNNNNNNNNNNNNNNNNNNNNNNNNNNNNNCAGCAGGAAAACUUUGCUAAAGUUCUGCUAAAACUGAACUCUUGAGAAGGAAGUGCUAGCUAGGAGUGCACAAUAGAGCUACAAAUUAUUGGGCAUGUGUACACUACCAAUUGAAACUUCCCAACCAAGUCUCACUUUAAGCAAAGCUUGCAAUUGAGUGCUAGGAGCUCAUUUGUGUUUUGGACCAGAAAGAUGGUUUUCAAAGGAACUAUAUUCAUUUGAUCUUCAAACCUUACCAAACUUUGCCAGCUUAGAGUCUUUUCUACGCUGAUCCUCCCACACAUCCUAUCUUACCCCAACCCCAACCCAUUUGAGCUCUAGAAGCACCCAAAGUCUGUAGACAGAACCUGUUUCUGAUGCUCCAAGACGCUGGUGAGCGUGAGUGAUCGAGAAAGCAGUGGAGAGUGACUAAUCAGAGUCUGGUCGAUGCAAUGGACAAAGUUUCCAGGCAUGCGUCGCAUCGGGGUGGCCACAACCAUGGUGACCAUGGUGCUGGAAUGCCACAGAGCACGCUCUGCGCAACACUAGUGACAGCCGAGCCGCCCUGAGUCAUCAAUCGUUGCCCCCUCCUUGUCGUGAGCGCCGACGAUGCCCCUGGCAGCUGCGUGGCACCUCUCGAAGGUGCUGGGUCGUCGGAGAGCGCCGCCGCUGCUCCCGGCCAAGCUCCACCACAGGACCGAGCUGACGGCUCUGACCACUGUGCUCGUCCGCAAGCUCUUAAUGGCCAGGAGCUAUCCCAUCGCCUCCCUGCCCUCCUCCGUCACCUCAGUGCGCUCCACGACGGCCAGCUCAGCCCCCCGGCGACUGUGUUGGAGCUUAUCUUUGCCGCUUCUGGAGAAAUCCGUCGAGCUCAUCGCCGGCCUAUUUAAGGGAGUGCCCGACCCCUCCGAGCUCUCCACACCCCUCCUGCUUCUCCCAAUUGACCUCCCGGAGAGCGAGCCAAGGCCUAGAGGCCCUCUAGCCUCGAACAUCGCCGGAGCUCCACCGCCUGUAACCUCACCAUCGACAGCACCAUCCACCCCCUCUAGAGCUCAAUAGACCCUACCUUCUGGUUCAGGGAGUCCCACUAGUGCUCCUCGACUCCUUGCCCCGAGUUCUUCCCCGCCGGAACGCCCGUCUCCGAUGACCACCCGAAGCCGCCGCCGCCGGAGAAGAAGGGGACGACGCCGUCUGUCCACCUCUCGCCAAGCUGCGGGUACGUGUGUGCUCAUCGUCGACCGCCCGUUCCAUUCCACCCAAUCCCAGGCGUCGCCUCCGUCUUAGUCACCGGUGACCAUCGCCGAAAGGCCGCCUCGCCUCUGUUCCGCUCCUCCCUCCUCUCUGUUCUCGCGGCAGGCCCCACCCGCGAGUGGCUGUGGUCCGCGGCCAAAGCGGUAAGUGGAGGCGCCCCUCCACUUUACGCCUUCGACGUGGCCCCCUGCCAGAAUUUAAAUUCUUUUAUAAAUUCCAAAUUCAAACAGAAACUUUGACCAUUUAAAUCUUUUUAUUUACAAGUCCAAAUCACUUGAUUCUUUUUGCAUUGAGUUGGUAUUGAGUUUCUCUACAAUCUGGUAAAUUUUGGUAUUUUUCUCAUAGUCAUAGAAUUUCUGGUUAAUAAAGAGAUAUUAAAUGACUUUUCUUUUCUUUUGACUAUUUCAAAUAAAUUUCGGAGGGAAACUUUGGAGAACAAGAGUGUUUGAACAACCCCACUGAUCAAGGCAAGCCAUUAUAUCCAUGUGGUGUAGUAUUGCAUAGCAUAGUAUACUUUCAUGCAUGAUGAUCAUUCACUUGAUAUUAGCAAAUGCUUAGUAAAUUAAUAAUGAUAAUUAUUUAAUUGUUGUCAUAAUUCUCCAAGUUGAUAACAACUUAGUGGUUGACAUAGAGUCACCUGUCCGGGCUUUACCGUACAACCACAUCUUGCCAAUAUGGGACGGUCGUGACUUGAGCUGUUCGCGUGAUCGCUCUCACCGGUACCUCCAAAGAGGGAGGGUUAUGCAUGCGUGCUACCCUGAUCAGGUAGGCGGUGAUAACCCUGUGAGCCCAGUUGAGUAGUUAGGGCCCAUCCCCGGUUGGGACAGUUUAGUUUGGCCACGACGGUGGUAGGUGUCAUGAAGACACAGGGCCACCCAGGGCAAGACUCCAGAGGAGAGUGGUUGCCGGUGGUACGAUGAGAGUGUCACGGUUCAGGCAAGUUUCGUUGGAGCAAUGCUGGUCCACCCGAACGGGAUCACGUGGUCAGUGCUCCAGAGUGUGGGUAAAGUGUGCAACCUCUGCAGAGUGUCAAAUCUAUUCGAAUAGCCGAGUCCACGGUAUUGGACAGCCCGACCAGACCUCAGUAGUUGGUCAACCCUGUUAAAAUUGUUAAUGAUGGAAGAAUUCUUCGUAUGGUUGAAGAUGUUUGGUUAGCAAUCUGGGUGUCAUGAGACAGCCCAGUCCUGAGUAAGUUGAUCCCUGAUAUAGUUCGUUAUAUGUCCAGUGUUGUUAUGCUUUGUUUGCUGCAUUACUUGGUUAUUGUGAGCUUGCGAGUACAUUCCAAGUACUCACCUGGCGUAUCAUGCCAGAUGCAGGAGAAGCCGCGGACGGAGGUCCCGAUGGUUCGUACUAGGAAGUGUCCACAUCAGUGUCCCUGUGUGUGGAGUCGCCGCUAUGUUCCGCUACGCCGUAGAAGUACCUAGUAGUUCCGAGGCCCAUGAUGAUGUCUCAUAAAUAAUGUAGAUACUAUUGCAGCACUGAGGGUGCCUUUGGCCUCGCUAUUAUUGUAAGCUAUGUACGUGACGCUAUCAAUAAAGUCGGCUCAUUUCUGUAUCAAGUUGUUGAGUGUUUCCAGAAGACGUGAUCUCUGGGCUGGAAACACUGGUAAUCCGGUUCUGCGAAUCGGGGUGCCACAUUCGGAGUCCCGGAUGAGAUCCCGGAUGUCACGAGGAGUUAUGGAAUGGUCCGAAGGUAAAUAUUCAUAUAUAGGAAGUGGAGUUUUGAUGACCGGAAGAGUUUCUAAGAUCGUCGGUAUUGUACCGGGACCACCGAAAGGGUUCCGGGGGUCCACCGGGAGGGGCCACCAGCCCCAAGAGGCUACAUGGGCAGAAAGUGGAUGGGAACCAGCCCCUAGGUGGGCUGGUGCGCCACCCACCUAAGGCACAAGGCGCACAAGAGGCUAAGGGGGCCAACCCUAGGGCAUGGAGGGGCUGCCUUGGGCUCCAAGCCCACCCUAGGGUGCUGCCACUCCUCCCAUCUUGGCUGCCGCACCCCCUAGGGUUUCCUUAGGGGUGGCUGGCCCUGCUCCUCCUCCCUCCUAUAUAUAGUGGAGGGUUUUGGGGCUGCAAAGAACACCAUUCCUCUCUCCCUCGGCGCAACCUUUCCUCCACUCCUCCACGUCCUCCGCGGUGCUUGGCGAAGCCCUGCCAGAGAACUGCAUAGCUCCACCGCUACCACGUCGUCGUUCUGCCGGAGCUCUCCCUGAACCUCUCCUCUGUCCUUGCUGGAUCAAGGCAUAGGAGAUGUUACCGGGCUGCACGUGUGUUGAACGUGUAGGCAUCGUUGUUCGGCGCUUAGAUCGGAAUCCACCGCGAUGUUAAUCGCUACGAAUACGACUCCAUCAACCGCAUUCUAGUAACGCUUCAACCUAGCGAUCUUCAAAGGUAUGAAGAUGCUCUACUACAUUGCUCGUUGCUGGUUUCUCCUAGAUAGAUCCUUGUGAAGCGUAGGAAUUUUUUUGAAAUUACUACCUUCCCCAACAAGUGGGCCCCGAGAUACCUCUCUGUCUUACAGAGUGAAAAAUCCCAGUGUUGAUCCAUGCCAACCCAACAGACUCCUUCGGAGAUACCUGUAGAGCACCUUUAUAGUCACACAGUUACAUUGUGACGUUUGGUACACAUAAGGCAUUCCUCCGGUGUCCGGGAGUUGCAUGAUCUCAUGGUCGUAGGAACAGAUACUUGACAUGUAGAAAAGAGUUGCAAUAAACUGACACGAGCACAUGCUACGUUCAUAAUUUCGGUCUUGUCCAUCACAUCAUUCUCCUAAUGAUGUGAUCCCCUUAUCGAACACAUCUCAUGUCUAUGGUUAGGAAACCUUGACCAUAUUUGAUCAACGAGCUAGUCCAUUAGAGGCUCACUAGGGACAAUGUGUUGUCUAUGUAUCCACACAUGUAUUUGAGUUUCCAAUCAAUACAAUUCUAGCAUGGAAAUAUAAUAAUAACUAAUUUAUUAUUGGCUCUAGGGCAUAUUUCCAAGACUAGCCUCACUCACGGUAGAUCUUCAUGAAUUAGGUGAUCUCCUUGCCCUUACAAACAUCUUGGUUCAACUCCACAACACGAAUUAGGAGGCUCCCAAGCGACACCUAUCCCAUCUAGGAGGCACCACCCUCCAAAAGGUAAUAGAUGUGGCAGACCGAUGAACUCCUUGCUCCUGUGGUUGAAAGAUAGUCUCCUCAACACUCAAUCACCGUGUCACAGAUUUGGCAUGGGUAGGAGAGAUUGAUCUUGUGCAAAGCAACAUGGGGAGGCUAGAACUCAAGGUUCAAAUGGUAGGAAUGGAAUAUCUUGAUCUCAACACAAGAGUAAAGUGGCUCUCUCUCAGAAAAAUAAAUCUGUCAAUGAAGUGUGUGUUCUAUGUGCUUCUUGAGCGAAUGAGAGGUAGGUGGAGGGGUAUAUAUAGGAAACACCCAAAAUCCAACCAUUACACCUAAAGUGACAAACUCGGUGACAUCAAAGUUACAAAAUCGAUGGUACCGACUUGCUCAAAAGGGUCAACUUUUGAAUCUCGAUGGAACCUAUAUACACAACUCGGUAGAAUCGAAAAGGUGGCUAACGGUCAGAUGACUCAACUCAGUGACACCGAUGCUCAAACUCGGACAUUCCAAUUUUGUGUAUUGAGGCAACAGAAGGUUGGUCACCCAAACUCGGUAGCACUGAUGCAGAAUCGGUUGUACCGAGAUGGUAGGUUUGGCUAGGGUUCUGUCUUGGAUGAAAGUUGGUAGGGCCGAUUAUGGAAACUUGGUGGCACCGAUUUUGGAUAUUUUUCUUGGGACAGAAGUGUUAUGUGGGAGAAUGUCUUAGUAUUUUUGCUGGCUAUCUCUGAUCACUUGAGCAACCAAUUCAUUUUAAUACCUCAUGCCCUUUUAAUAGUAGUGGCUUUCCUAUGGACUCAAAGUGAUUUCUCACAAAGUGUAAAGUGAAGAGUCUUCUCCUUGAAGCUUGAGCCAAUCUUAUUCCUUCCUUCAUCAAGGGGCUUAUCCUCACAAUCCUAUAGCCAAAGUUCUCUGUGGACUAUACCUGAAAUAUACUAGGUAAAAGUGUUAGCUCAAGAGACAAUGUAUGUUGUCAUGAAUUAUCAAAACCACCAAGGGAGCAUGUGUGCUUUCAACAUGUUUCUCAUGUUCCGGAUGUUUACUCUUGGCCUUUUCAGCGUCAAGGCUCAGUCGAAGGGCUUGCAACUCCUUAUCCACAGCAUCAUCACGACCCCCGAGCCCGCGGGCAGUUUGUCAUCAACAAACACAAGUCAAGCAAAAUACAAAAAUAAUAACUCUAAGACUACACCCGACUAAUCGAGUCAAUGGUAGCCUCGAGGACUACACCCAGUGGGUGGGCUCAGCGUGCCCCCACUAGAAAGAUAAGAGGAGCAACAAAGGGGCUCGUACCCUAUCUACCUUUCUUGAAUCAAAACAAGAACUAUGACUACCGUCGAUUGCUCGAUUCGACAGUAUCCUCGGGGACUGCACCCAGUGCGUGCGCUCAGCGCACCCCCACUAAAAACGGUCACCCAGUGGGUGUGCCUCGGAGGAAACCCACUCAGGACCGAAUUCAGAAACAAAAAUAUAUGUGUGAACGAAAAGGACUCACCCGAAUGUUCUUCGCCACGGUUUCACUAGCAACGUAUGCUUCUUUCAGUCUCGCAACCAUCACUCCCAGUUGAGCCAGAGCCGCCUUGUGUGCCCCCUCUUGGUCCUCCAGGAUAUCGUGCAGAUGGAAGAGGUUGUGAUCCAUAGGAGGAAGUGGCAAGGUGACAGACGGACCAGAUCCAAAUGACACUCCAGCCAAAGUAGCCUCCCGAGCCUCAAGAACCUGAACCUGGGUAGCCCAGGACUCAAUCACUCGUCUGGGGGUUGCAGCUUGCUUGGAUACUUCGCCAACCACUGCAGGACUAACGGGAUCAAGUUCGAUCACAUUUCGUGGCUCUGCACACAUCCACCAACAUUCAAAACGUCAUUUCGUGGUUGGGUCCCAAGUCCCGAAUGGCACAUAAAUAAGCCCAAGGGAGGUGGCGUUGGUAUCCGCCCGCCCUUUGUCAAAGGUCUUUGGUUCCAGAGAAGCGGUCGAUGUAUCAGGCCUACAACAAAGACAACAAGAAAACCAACCAUUACUUGGAAUACCUUGAAAAACAAAGAAAUAAUCACUUGGUAAAAGUAAUUACGCCGAAGCCACUAGCACGUCGACCUUGAUGCGUGGUACAGAGGCCUUCCGAGGUUUCGAGGUCGUGGUUUUGGGAUGUUUGGUAGCUUUCUCUGGUUAUACCUUUGGCUCACUCUAGCCUCGUUUGUAACUGCGGAUCGGCAUAGCCAACACAGUCAGCUUCACCACCUUUGGAGUCCUAGCGCCCCCAAUAUGGACCCAGGGUCCUGGCACGCUUUAGAGCGAGUCUCGAGUGAGACUUCAUCAGACGAAGAAGACUCUGCCUCAUCCCCGUGUUCGUCUCCACUCUCCUCCGUCUCCUCGUCGUCAUCUUCAUCCACUUCAUCUUCCGAGUCUUCGUGGUGAUCAAUGUCACCUGCCACAUCGAUGGGUGAGUGGUCAACCGUCGGGAUGGAACUGACCACCCGUGUAAAAGCCUGUCGAGUGGCGGAGUGAGAAUUACAAAUGAAAAUGACAAGCAACAAGGAAGUUCACUCGGUUCAAGUGCGUAAAGAUUUACCUCAUUCGGAGGAUGCUUUGCUAAGAAAGGAGGCGUCAACCUAGUUCCUCUGGGAUUGUCUCGCACACGUGUUACAGCCUUGAGAUUUUCCUCUAGUUGUUCUGUCCCGAUCUCCUUCGGAUGGACGCGGGUUGGGUCAUCCGAACCGCUAGACAUCCACAUGGGAUGAGCCCUCGCCUGCAGAGGCUGGAUCCUGUGCUGGAAAAAUACUUCCAGAAGGUCCAUCCUAUUGAUGUUCUUCCGCAAGAAAGAAACCAAUGCUAUCACCAGGAUAUCUACGUUCGUCCUCUCUUCCUUCGACACUGUCAAUGAAGGAGCCGACUGAAUUCACUCAGGCGAAUAAGGAGGACGGCUCGGCCUACCCUCACUGACUGGAACAUCCUCGCAAUAGAACCAGGAGUCAUGCCAACCCUUCAGUGAGUCGGGGAAGGACAUAUGAGGAAAACUACUCUUGCCCCUAAGCUGUAUUCCUAAACCCUCGCAGAGUUGCACUACAUGCGCCUUUCCCCCGACUGAGAAGACUUUUUCACUGUCAUCACUCGGCACGUGAACAAUUGCUUGAAUAAUCCCCAGUGCGGGUAGCAUACAAGGAAAUUCUUGCACAAGGAUACGAAAGCAACUAAGUACAAGACAACUUUGGGGGAGAUGAUGAAGUUGCGCGCCGAUAAAGUCAAGGAAAUCGUGGAAGAAUGGAUGCGGGGGCAAGGAGAAACCUCUUCCACAUGGGUGACCAGGAGCACCCGCUCGUGACCCCUCAGUGAAGGCUCUAGCUCGCCUUCAUCCGGCAACCGCCAACUGCCCAGAACCACCAGGCCUUCGCUCUCCAGGUCUAGCAUACGCUCCAUGGAGACUCGGGACGACAUCGAGUCGCCCUGAAUCCAGCCUGGUGGAAGCGUCCCGGCACUCGAAGAAGAAUCACGCGAACCCUUCUUGGCCCGCUCGGCUUUCACAGUCGUGCCUUUCACCAUGCUGCACGGUGGGUCGGGUGAGGUGGGGAAACGACGCAGGUGGCAACCGCAAGGUUCAAGAGAGGGAAUGAGAGCAACUCAGAUCUGGUGACGUGGUUCCUCUACCCCGCUACCUCAGCCAAUUUAUACACUACAGGAAGAUGCCCCAUAGAGUAUUCCUUCAUCACGAGGAAGAUCUACAAGAUCGAGGUGACAACGUUCCUAUAGCAUGCCAACGACGUUUCAAGUGCGGAAAUCGAGGUGUCCCUCCAAUACUUCCACUUCCCAUGUUGUAGCUGAUUCCGCUUCCCCAGCGCACUCCAUCGAUUCAAAAUAUCGUGGAGAAUCCGCUCCCACUGAUGACCCGAAUGGACUCUGUAUCCGUGGCGCAUAAUGAGGUGAGCCGAAUACCCUACCGUUCGUCCUUCCAUGAGACCACAAGCAUUCAAACAACACAAGAAGGCAAUCAGAUUGCCCGCACCAUAGCGCGAGUGGGACCCAUCCUACCUCACCGAUUGGACAAUCGGAGCCCCGAGCUCGUGAUCGUCCGUGUCGUUGAAUUUGCCUUUUCAAAAGGUAUUCAAUUGUUACCGAAUGGAAGCAUACCGACAUGCUCCAGCACUCGAAAUCUUUCACUCUUGAAUCCGCUGAGGUUUACUGAGAGCCCGAGUGACGUAGCCCCAAGCCAUAACCUCGGCGUCCCUGAGACACCGAGGGCACAAGCGAGUGCCUUCCACUCGGCUAGUAAAAUCUCAACUGAUUCGAGGGCUACAUACGGGGUUGUGCAUUAGGGAUAGUCCUACGGACCUGCAUCCCUAGGCCUUCCCAAGACCCUACAUGGACAUCAGCCUCCCAAAAGCCACCUGUGCAGUCUUGACUUCACUCGGACAAGUGUACCUUCACUCAGCCCACAUGGGGUCACUCGGACCAUCUCGUAUCAGUCAGAUGUCCCUCUACACUCGGACUGCAGUAUGGCAUGGGCAACGAAGGGACUGGAACAACUACAAACUUAAAGAAUCACACAAAGUGCAGUGAAAAUGUGUGUUACCAGUAACGCUGAUGUUAGGGUUGCCAUUACUAGUAACUCCCGUAGUUAUUAGCAUUUACUCACCCUUGUAAUGAUAUCCGACUGGUCGUGACACACUCUAUAUAAGCCACCCCCGGGCUCGUGACCAAGGGUUCAACAUUCUGUACUAUCACAUAUUCUACAAGCACACACGAGCCCCCAUGAGACUCCAGACGCAGGGUUGCUACCACUCUCGAGUGGAGCCUGAACUCGUACAUCCGAGCGUAUCCAUUGCGCCCUAGCUAGGCUCCGCCCUCAUUCGUACCCCUGGUAUUAUUGUCUUGAUCAUUCCCACGACACCCCGCGUCCCCGAAUUUGUGCUCCCACAUCGUCUUGGCUCAGAGUUGAAGAGGGAGAAUUCAGAAGUUGAGCAUGACGUUGAUCACGACGGGGAGCUCGAGAUUCCUCUUGGUGGACCACCACUUGAUUUUCUUGAUCAAGGUAGCCACCUCUUCGAGGUUCCCCUAGGUUAUGCCCUUCUCCCUCCAUGAGCUGAGCUUUUUGAGGGGCCCGACUGAAAAGGCUGAGACUUUGCCUUGGCUGGGCGCGAGCUGCUAGGUGAUGUAAAACCACUCGCACUGCCACUCCUUCAUUGUUUCGAUGAAGGUGCCCUUGAACGAGUCAGCGUUUCGUUCUUGUUGACCAUGGCUCCUCCACACUCUGCCAGCUCGGUGCCGUUAGACUUCGGCUUGAUUUCGAAGAUGUUCAGCCAGAGGCAGAAAUGCGGUGCACAACGGAGGAAGGCCUCACAUAUUGUAAUAAAGGAGGCGAGGUGGAGGAUGGAGUUCGGGGCCAUAUGGUGGAAGUCGAUCCCGUAGUAGAACAUCUCUUGCACACGAAGGCGUGCAGCGAGAACCCCAAGCUUAGGAUGACGUGGGGGACAAAUAUUACCCAUUCCCCUGACAUGGGAGUGGGUACUUGCUCGUUGGCGCCAGGAGCUCGGGGUACCGUUGUUGGUUGGGAUGUAUCCGGCCUCGCACAACUCUAGAAUGGUGUCGUCCAUCACGAUAGAACCACCCCAAUGCCCUCCAAGGGUAUCAGCCAUGGCUAGAUGUGGAGACUCAAGUUGAUGGAGGCGAGAUUGUAUGUGAGCGCUGGAGCUCAACGGAACAGCAGGCAAGGGGAGAGAUGAAAGUGUAAUUACUUACGUCGUAUCUUUUACACUCUUAUAGGUUGUUGAAAGGCCAGGCCUCCCCCUUACCGUGCCGAUAAAACGCCACUCCCACAAAGAUGUCGUUAUCCACAUGGGGGGCAAAAUCUUGAUGAUAUCCCUCAUAAAGCGGGAACGGUCUCCAUCUUGAUGGCACUUGCUAGUAGAAAGGAUGUCACGGUCCAUGAUUUGAGGAAGGCACUAACUGCUCAACCUAUCCUCGGGAGUGUCGCUUUGAUAAAGUUGUCAGGGUAAACGACAUUGUUCACACCUACACGUAAAGUUGUCAGGGUAAACGACAUUGUUCACCCCUACACGACCGGCCUUCGAGGCUAAGCGAACCCACCUGUUUGGAUCAAAAAUAGAGCUCGGCUCGAUCUUAUUAUAAGGCACCAUUCUUUUUUAAGGAUGGUUUGGGCAUUUUGAAGUCAUGAAGGGGAACUCGUUUGAAAAGCCAAUGACUUUGCACCCGAAGUUAUCUUCAUCAAGGGAAUCAUCCUCGGCAUAGAAGACCAGUUCGGGGGCUAGUGACGGUGUCAUGGACUAGGGGGUCCUAACCUAGCUGGCCCAGACUCUUUGGGCUGGGCCGAGAAGUCCUCCACCCUCUCAAGAUGGACUUUAGAGAUUGCACGAUGGAACAUGAUCGAGUCUGCAUCUGCCGAAGGCUUAUGUAUGCUCCAAGACUUCUCCUGCCACCUUUACCGUAGGAUACCGACCUUGUAACCCUAGAUACCCUACUCGUCGUGUAUAUACCCCGUGGGGUUUAGCCCGUGGAGGGGCUCCAACACAACAUUACUCAACUAGCCCUAGGGUUAGAACACAUCUCUCGAUCUUGAGGUAGAUCAACUACAUACUCGAUACUUAUCCAUCAAUGUAAACACGAGCAGGGCAUAGGGUUUUACCUCCAUCAAGAGGGCCCAAACCUGGGUAAACAUCGUCUCUUCCGUUCUUGUUAUCACUGAUUCGAGAUCCACAGCUCGAGACCCCCUACCCCGAGGUCUGCUGGUUUUCACACUCACACCUGCCGCUGGAAUGCAAGUGGUUAUUCCUUUGUAUAUGUCUACAAGAGAGAAAAAUUGUGCCACCAAAAUGAACCACAUACUCAUCCUGCAUGUGGUGGUGAUGAGUCAAGGUAGGCAUUCCAACCCACCAUUACCCAAGGAGUAUCUCUCUUAUGCAUGAAAUUGUGGAUGUAUUUGAGUAGAAGGGAUUUGUUUUGAAUUUUUAAAUCCAUAAUUCCAAGGCCACCCUUUUGUUUAGGUCUGCAUAUCAAGUCCUAGGCAGCAAGUGAGUGUGUUUUUGCAUGUCUGUUUGCAAUUUUCUCCAUAGGCAGUGUCUUCUAGCACGAUCAAAUAUCUCAAUUAACUUGAGGGGCAGUUUGAGAACUAACAUAGAAAAUGAAAGUAGAGAAGAUAGAGCAGAAUUGAUUAGUUGCACCCUCUCACCAUAAGAUAGCGAAAUUGCAGUUCACGUUAGUCUCCUCUCGAUGCGUUCGACCAAAGGCAUCAAUUCCCAAAAAGUAGGUUUAGAUGUGCCCAUCAUAGUUCCCAUUCUCAAAAGGUUUUCAAUAAUAUGGUUGAAGAAUAAUUGAGCAAAGUUGACGAUAUAUCUACAAAUAUGGAUAGGCUUGUGUAUGAUGUUGAUAUUGUUGAAAUCAAAGUUUUGCCAUCUAAUAAGGGUAAAUUAUCUAAAUCUUUAAAAGUCAUAUGUGCCUCCAUUGACCAAAGUAAACAAGGAACGGGGAGGAUGAGAUCUAGACGUGAAUUUCUAGAAAAGGCGUUUGCAUCAGAUUUUCAUGAUAGUAGUGAUAAGGGUAUAAAAAUGAUUGAGGUGUCAUCUAUUGAAUCAUUGCCCACUAAUAUAAAAAUUGAUGAUAAAGCAAGUGAAAAUGAGUCAACAUUAAUUAAAGGGCGUCCCAGUGCGGGUGAUGAUCAUAAGGCUAUUAAUAAUGCCAACUAUUCAAAUAUAUCUUAAAGCAUACACCAAAUCUUCAUAGAUUUUCAUCUUGAGUACACCGAGGACGAGAGACUAUGGAGCCCUUAUUUCAAUGAUUGGUGCAUCAUCGACCCGACCCAUAGACGACAGACCGACAUGGUAAGCACCCUUUAAUCCAGGACAUCGUCCGCGUCCACUCCAAGCCGGUUCCAAUGUGAAGCGGCGAUUCUACAACGACAUUAAUGUGGGCAGCUCACGUCGGGCAGGAACGCACGCGAACGAGUGAGGAGGGUUUUGGGUGGCCAGAAUGACAGAAGCAGGUGUGGGUGUUGUCCGGACGUCUGUAAACCCUCUCUAAAUUGUCUUCGGUUUACAAAAAAACAUGUGUGAACCUCUUGGAGGACCGAUACACGUGUUGGAUGGCAUAAAACGCGGUAUGAACGUUUGCGUGCGAUUUGAGGAUGAGCAUUGGAGACGGCCUUAGGUUUUUGUUCCUAUCAGAUGAUUCGUUGUCGAUCGCCUCUUGAGUUUUUUUUAUAUGUCCCAGCUCGUUUCUCUUUCCUUUUUUCCCUCUUGCUGCUGUGCUUUUGUGUAAUCUAUCUAUUAUCAUAUAUUUAAAAUGAUAGAAAACGAGCGGNNNNNNNNNNNNNNNNNNNNNNNNNNNNNNNNNNNNNNNNNNNNNNNNNGUUCAGAUAUAACAAUAAAAAAAGAAGUCAAAACUACAGUUGUGAUUCAUCUCUCACGUUUUAGAAAAAGUGGUGAGUUAAAAUUCCAUCGAUGCAAAAGAAAAGUGUCCAUCUCUAAUACGGCUAUGCACGUGAUAAAAAAAACCUCUAGAGUCCAUAUCACGUGUCAUGUUUUUUUAAGUAUGGCUGCGAUUUGCUGGAAGGUAGUACACAUAAUAGACAUGUCCCACGUUUUAGCAUAAGCAAUGUGUUAAGAGUCUAUCGACGCAAAAUAAUAAUCCUACGCCCAUGAAUCUAUCAAAUGCAUGACCAAAGACAAAAACAAUUGAUAUAUUUUUGAUAAGAACACGCACAAAGAAGCUGAUUGAAUUCCGGCAAGAACCCGCACGACACAACUAAUUGGUCUCCGGCAAGAAUACGCACGGCAUAUGGCUGAUCGAUUUCAGACUAGAUUAUUCACAUGUGCAGCUGAGAACCACACGAACACACAUCCAUUUUUAUCGUAUGUCCUCUGUACAAAGGAUCAACUAAAAUAGACAUGAGCACGCGUACAAUCACAUUAAAGGCCCUAGAGGAACAUAUCCACACACAUGGAUAACGCUCACAUGCUAGUUAUCCAAACAAUAGUAAACAUCGACAGAUUAGAGCAUUGGAAAAUGCCAGAGACAGAUGAAAGGCAUGGCAACAACAGGAUCAUCUUACAGUUGGAAACUAAACUUGUUCCUUGAAUGAAUUUGUUACAAUGUACAACUUAUAUGCACCUGAGAAAGCAACUAACAGCCCGAGAGAAUAGACACGCAGGCCAGGGCGAGUGGGGCGAUUGGAUCCUCCUAAUGUGGAUCAGCUAGACUAAGUACAUACGUACAUACAAUGAUACAAGUAGUAUAUACAUUCUAACACCCCCCUCAGCCGGAACACCAUUUGGAAGGACGUUUAGGCUGGAUCUGAAAUCGAUGAAGACGGUAGUCGGCAGUCCUUUGGUGAAGAUAUCUGCAAACUGCGAGCUCGAUGGAACAUGGAGAACACGUGCUUCACCAAGAGCGACCCGUCCUUUGGUGAAGAUAUCUGCAAACUGCGAGCUCGAUGGAACAUGGAGAACACGUGCUUCACCAAGAGCGACCCGGUCACGAACAAAGUGGAGAUCAAUCUUAAUGUGUUUAGUUCGUUGAUGUUGAACCGGGUUGCAAGCAAGAUAUGAGGCACUCACGUUGUCACAAUAGACAAUAGUGGCACGCUAUGGCGGGAGACGAAGCUCAUGGAGUAACUGGCGGAGCCAACCUGAUUCCGCCACACAAUUUGCAACACCCCUGUACUCAGCUUCAGCGCUAGAACGAGAGAUGGUAGGCUACCUCUUGGAGGACCAGGAGAUGAGAUUGGCACCGAGAAAUACACAAAACCCCGAGGUAGACUUGCGGGUGUCGGGACACCCGACCCAAUCUGCAUCCGUAUAAGCAACAAGAUCCAUCGAGGAGGACUUAUAGAACUGAACGUCGAAGUGAGAAGUGCCCUUGAGAUACCGUAGGAUGCGUUUAACAAGCUGCAUAUGUGUGUCAGGGGAGCAUGCAUAAAAAGGAAAACUUGUUGAACGGCAUAUGCUAUGUCAGAGCGUGUGAGUGUUAGGUAUUGAAGGGCGCCAGCAAGACUGUGAUACUUUGUGGGGUUGGAGAGGAGGUGACCAUCAUGGGAGGACACUUUAGAGCUAGUGUCAAUGGGUGUAGGAACAGGUUUGCAAUUGAGCAUCUGAGCACGCUCAAGGAUUUCAAGAGUGUAUUGCUGCUGGCAAAGAAAGAGACCCAUAUGGUUGGGGGUGACAUUGACACCCAAGAAAUGUUGAAGAGCACCCAAGUCAGUCAUAGAAAAUUCCGACUUUAGAGAGUUGAUGAUGGUGGUAAGAGUGCGUGGGGAAUUUGCGGUGAGGAUGAUAUCAUCAACAUAAACAAGCAAGUAUGCAAUGGAUGUGCCAUGGUGCAAAAUGAAGAGAGAAGAGUCACUCUUGGAUGCAUGAAAACCAAGGGAUAAAAGGAAUGCUUGAAAGCAAAGAAACCAAGUGCGAGGAGCCUGUUUCAAACCGUAUAGAGACUUACGAAGGAGGCACACAUGAUCCGGUUUGGAGGAGUCCACAAAACCGGACGGUUGAGAACAGUACACCGUUUCCUUGAGGUCACCAUGGAAGAAUGUGUUGUUGACAUUGAGUUGGUGAAUUGGCCAAGAGUGAGAGGUGGUGAUGCUCAACACCACACGGAUGGUUGCGGGCUUCACGACGGGACUGAAGGUUUCCCCAUAAUCAACACCCUCUUGUUGGGUGAAACCACGAACAACCCACCGAGCUUUGUAGCGAGCCAAGGUACCAUCGGUGUUAAGCUUGUGGCGAUAUAUCCAUUUGCCCGUGACAACAUUGACACGUGCAGGUUUUGGGCACCAAAGACCAAGUGAAGUUGUUCAUUAAAGCAUAAUACUCAUCUAGCAUAGCUUGUUUCAAUUUAGGGUCUUUGAGGGCAGAUUUGUAGGAGGAUGGGAGAGGUGAUAUGGGGCUGGAGGUGUUAGUGGUAAGAAAUAAGCGCUUGGGCAUGCAAUAGCCGUGUUUGGCAUGGGUGGCCAUGGUGUGAGAGUUGUGUGGUGGUGCAACCGGUAGUGCAUGGGGAGGUAGACGUGGCGCGGGAGGAGUGGAUGGCUCGGCGAUCAGAGAGGAUGUUGUGGGGCCAGGCGAAUUGGUCGGGUCCGAGGAAGUGGAAGUAACUGUUGCGGGAUCCGAGGAGGAUUCGGUGGCAGCGGCAGAGGCGCGUGGGCCGGGCGAAGCUACCGAGGUCGCGACACGUGGCUGUGACGAAGUGGGCGACGCGGGCGCGGUCGCCGAGGCGGGGUUGUCGGGGCGGGACCGAGACAAGGUAGUGGAUGGGGAUCGCGAGGGUGGAGCUGGUGGGGUCCCCGGGUUGGUGGAUUGGCAGGUAGCGAGGUGGAAGGUGGGGUGGGGGCCCAGGGGCGGUAUCGGGAUCCAGAGUAACAGGUGUAGGGGGGACUUUUGCAUGGGGAUUUUCUGUGGUCGUUGGCGUCGCGUGGCCGGAGGUGGGUUGGGUAUAGGGGAAAACGGAUUCGUCAAAGACGACAUGGCGUGAAACAAUGACGCGGCGGUUUGCUAGGUCGUAGCAGCAAUAGCCUUUGUGCUCGAGGGGGUACCCAAGGAAGACACAACGGGUGGAGCGAGGAGAGAGUUUGUUGGACAUGGUGGCGUAGAGGUUUGAGAAACACAAACAACCGAAAACGCGAAGAUGAUCGUACUGUGGGUGCGCACCAUGAAGAAGGUAGUAGGGUGUUAGAGGCAUGGUGGCGCGCGAUGGACAGCGAUUCAGGAGGUAAGUGGCGGUAUGUAAGGCCUCGAACUAAAAGGGAGGAGUAAGAUUGGCUUGAAGAAGAAGGGUGCGCACGAUGUCGUUGGUGGUUCGAAUGAGGCGUCCAGCCUUUCCAUUUUGGGGCGAUGUAUGAGGGCAUGAGAACCGGUAGGCAAUGCCAUUGGAUGAAAAGAAGGAGCGUAAGGAGGUGUUGGGGAACGUCGCAUGGGAAACAAAAAAUUUCCUACGCGCACGAAGACCUAUCAUGGUGAUGUCCAUCUACGAGAGGGGAUGAGUCAUCUACGUACCCUUGUAGAUCGUACAGCAGAAGCGUUAGUGAACGCGGUUGAUAUAGUGGAACGUCCUCAUGUCCCUCGAUCCGCCCCGCGAACAAUCCCGCGACUAGUCCCACGAUCUAGUACCGAACGGACGGCACCUCCGCGUUCAGCACACGUACAGCUUGACGAUGAUCUCGGCCUUCUUGAUCCAGCAAGAGAGACGGAGAGGUAGAAUAGUUCUCCGGCAGCGUGACGGCGCUCCGGAGGUUGGUGAUGACCUUGUCUCGGCAGGGCUCCGCCCGAGCUCCGCAGAAUCGCGAUCUAGAGGAAAAACCGUGGAGGUAUGUGGUCGGGCUGCCGUGGAAAAGUCGUUUUAAAUCAGCCCUAAAACCUCCGUAUAUAUAGGUGGGAGGGAGGGGACCUUGCCUUGGGGCUCAAGGAGCCCCAAGGGGGUCGGCCGAGUCCAAGGGGGAAGGCUCCCCUCCCCAAACCGAGUUGGACUUGGUUUGGUGGGUGGGAGUCCUUCCUUCCCUUCCCACCUCCCUUUUUUUCCUUUUCUCUUUGAUUUUCUUUCCUAGGCGCAUAGGGCCCUUUUGGGCUGUCCCACCAGCCCACUAAGGGCUGGUGCGCCACCCUCAUGGCCUAUGGGCUUCCCCGAGGUGGGUUGCCCCCCCCCCCCCCGGGNNNNNNNNNNNNNNNNNNNNNNNNNNNNNNNNNNNNNNNNNNNNNNNNNNNNNNNNNNNNNNNNNNNNNNNNNNNNNNNNNNNNNNNNNNNNNNNNNNNNNNNNNNNNNNNNNNNNNNNNNNNNNNNNNNNNNNNNNNNNNNNNNNNNNNNNNNNNNNNNNNNNNNNNNNNNNNNNNNNNNNNNNNNNNNNNNNNNNNNNNNNNNNNNNNNNNNNNNNNNNNNNNNNNNNNNNNNNNNNNNACAUUGCUUGCAAGGCUUGUGUGUGAUGUUGUAUUACCGAGUGGGCCCCGAGAUACCUCUCCGUCACACGGAGUGACAAAUCCCAGUCUUGAUCCAUACUAACUCAACUAACACCUUCGGAGAUACGUGCAGAGCAUCUUUAUAGUCACCCAGUUACGUUGCGACGUUUGAUACACACAAAGCAUUCCUCCGAUGUCAGUGAGUUAUAUGAUCUCAUGGUCAUAGGAAUAAAUACUUGACAUGCAGAAAACAGUAGCAACAAAAUGACACGAUCAACAUGCUACGUUCAUUAGUUUGGGUCUAGUCCAUCAAAUGAUUCACUCAAUGAUGUGAUCCAGUUAUCAAGCAACAACACCUUGUUCAUAAUCAGAAGACACUGACUAUCUUUGAUCAACUGGCUAGCCAACUAGAGGCUUGCUAGGGACAGUGUUUUGUCUAUGUAUCCACACAUGUAAAUGACUCUUCAUUCAAUACAAUUAUAGCAUGGAUAAUAAACGAUCAUCUUGAUACAUGAAUUAUAAUAAUAACUAUAUUUAUUAUUGCCUCUAGGGCAUAAUUCCAACAGUCUCCCACUUGCACUAGAGUCAAUAAUCUAGCCCUCACAUCAUCAUGCGAAUUACAUUGUAAUAAAUCUAACACCCAUACAGUUCUGGUGUUGAUCAUGCUUUGGCCGUGGAAGAGGUUUAGUCAGCGGGUCUGCUACAUUCAGAUCUGUGUGCACUUUGCAUAUAUUUACGUCCUCUCCCUCGACGUAGUCGCGGAUGAGGUUGAAGCGUCGUUUGAUGUGUCUGGUCUUCUUGUGAAACCGUGGUUCCUUUGCUAAGGCAAUGGCACCAGUGUUGUCACAGAACAAGGUUAUUGGAUUCAGUGCGCUUGGCACCACUCCAAGAUCCGUCAUGAACUGCUUCAUCCAGACACCCUCCUUAGCCGCCUCCGAGGCAGCCAUGUACUCCGCUUCACAUGUAGAAUCUGCUACGACGCUUUGCUUGGAACUGCACCAGCUUACUGCACCCCCAUUAAGAAUAAAUAUGUAUCCGGUUUGCGACUUAGAGUCGUCCGGAUCUGUGUCAAAGCUUGCAUCGACGUAACCUUUUACGGCGAGCUCUUCGUCCCCUCGAUAUACAAGAAACAUCUCCUUAGUCCUUUUCAGGUACUUCAGGAUAUUCUUGACCGCUGUCCAGUGAUCCACUCCUGGAUUACUCUGGAACCUACCUGCCAUGCUUAUGGCCAGGCUAAUAUCCGGUCUAGUGCACAUCAUUGCAUACAUGAUAGAACCUAUGGCUGAAUCAUAGGGGACGGAGCGCAUAUGCUCUCUAUCCUCAUCAGUUGCUGGGCACUGAGUCUUACUCAAUCUCGUACCUUGUAAAACUGGCAAGAACCCUUUCUUGGACUGUUCCAUUUUGAACCUCUUCAAAACUUUAUCAAGGUAUGUGCUUUGUGAAAGUCCUAUCAGGCGUCUUGAUCUAUCCCUAUAGAUCUUAAUACCUAGAAUGUAAGCAGCUUCUCCUAGGUCCUUCAUAGAGAAACUUUUAUUCAAGUAAUCCUUUAUGCUCUCUAAAAACUCCACGUUGUUUCCAAUCAGCAAUAUGUCAUCCACAUAUAAUAUUAGAAACGCCACAGAGCUCCCACUCACUUUCUUGUAAAUACAAGAUUCUCCAACCACUUGUAUAAACCCAAAUGCUUUGAUCACCUCAUCAAAGCGUUUGUUCCAACUCCGAGAUGCUUGCACCAGUCCAUAAAUGGAUCGCUGGAGCUUGCACACCUUGUUAGCAUUCUUAGGAUCGACAAAACCUUCGGGUUGCAUCAUAUACAAUUCUUCCUUAAGGAAACCGUUAAGGAACGCCGUUUUGACAUCCAUCUGCCAGAUUUCAUAAUCGAAAAAUGCAGCUAUUGCUAACAUGGUUCUGACGGACUUAAGCAUCGCUACGGGUGAGAAAGUCUCAUCGUAGUCAACUCCUUGAACUUGUGAAAAAACCUUUGCCACAAGUCGAGCUUUAUAAACGGUCACAUUGCCGUCAGCGUCCGUCUUCCUCUUAAAAAUCCAUUUGUUCUGAAUAGCCUUGCGGCCCUCAGGUAGUACCUCCAAAGUCCACACUUUGUUCUCAUACAUGGAUCCUAUCUCGGACUUCAUGGCUUCUAGCCAUUUGUUGGAAUCUGGGCCCAACAUUGCUUCUUCAUAAUUUGCAGGUUCAUUGUUGUCCAACAACAUGAUCGAUAAGAUGGGAUUACCGUACCACUCUGGAGCAGCACGUGGUCUCGUCGACCUGCGUGGUUCGACAGAAACUUGAACCGGAGUUUCAUGAUCAUCAUCAUUAACUUCCUCCUCAACCGGCGUCGCAACGACAGAGGUUUCCCCUUGCCCUACGCCACCAUCUAGAGGGAUGAGAGGUUCGACAACCUCGUCAAGUUCUAUUUUCCUCCCACUCAAUUCUCUCGAGAGAAACUCCUUCUCGAGAAAAGCUUCGUUUUUAGCAACAAACACUUUGCCCUCGGAUUUGAGAUAGAAGGUGUACCCAACUGUCUCCUUUGGGUAACCUAUGAAGACGCACUUUUCCGCUUUGGGUUCCAGCUUUUCAGGCUGAAGCUUUUUGACAUAAGCAUCACAUCCCCAAACUUUAAGAAACGACAACUUUGGCCUUUUGCCAUACCACAGUUCGUAAGGUGUCGUCUCAAUGGAUUUUGAUGGUGCCCUAUUUAAAGUGAAUGCAGCUAUUUCUAAUGCAUAACCCAAAAACGAUAACGGCAAAUCAGUAAGACACAUCAUAGAUCGCACCAUCUCUAAUAAAGUACGAUUACGACGUUCGGACACACCAUUACGCUGUGGUGUUCCAGGCGGUGUUAACUGUGAAACAAUUCCACAUCGUCUUAAGUGAGCACCAAACUCGAAACUCAGAUAUUCACCCCCACGAUCAGCCCGUAGGAACUUGAUCUUCUUGUUACGAUGAUUUUCCACUUCACUCUGAAAUUUCUUGAACUUUUCAAAUGUUUCAGACUUGUGCUUCAUCAAGUAGACAUAACCAUAUCUACUCAAAUCGUUAGUGAAGGUGAGAAAAUAACGAUAUCCGCUGCGCGCCUCUACGCUCAUCGGACCACAUACAACGGUAUGUAUGAUUUCCAACAAGUCACUUGCACGCUCCAUAGUUCCGGAGAACGGAGUCUUAGUCAUCUUGCCCAUGAGGUAUGGUUCACACGUGUCAAGUGAAUCAAAGUCAAGUGACUCCAAAAGUCCAUCAGCAUGGAGUUUCUUCAUGCGCUUUACACCAAUAUGACCUAAGCGGCAGUGCCACAAAAAUAUGGCGCUAUCAUUGUUAACUCUAACUCUUUUGGUCUCAAUGUUAUGUAUAUGCGUAUCGCUAUCAAGAUUCAAUAUGAACAAUCCUCUCACAUUAGGUGCAUGACCAUAAAAGAUGUUACUCAUAGAAAUAGAACAACCAUUAUUCUCUGACUUAAAAGAGUAACCGUCUCGCAAUAAACAAGAUCCAGAUAUAAUGUUCAUGCUCAACGCAGGCACUAAAUAACAAUGAUUUAAGUUCAUCACUAAUCCUGAUGGUAACUGAAGUGAAACUGUGCCGACGGCGAUUGCAUCAACCUUGGAACCAUUUCCUACGCGCAUCGUCACUUCAUCUUUCGCCAGCCUUCGUCUAUUCCGCAGUUCCUGUUUCGAGUUGCAAAUAUGAGCAACAGAACCGGUAUCGAAUACCCAGGCACUACUACGAGAGCCGGUUAAGUACACAUCAAUAACAUGUAUAUCAAAUAUACCUGAUUUUUCUUUGGCCGCCUUCUUAUCUUCCAGAUACUUGGGGCAAUUGUGCUUCCAAUGACCCAUACCCUUGCAAUAGUAACACUCCGUUUCAGGCUUAGGUCCAGCUUUGGGUUUCUUCGUCGGAUUGGCAACAGGCUUGCCGCUCUUCUUCGAAUUACCCUUCUUGCCUUUGCCGUUUCUCUUGAAACUAGUGGUCUUAUUCACCAUCAACACUUGAUGUUCUUUACGGAGUUCAGACUCUGCGACUUUCAGCAUCGCAAACAACUCGCCGGGUGACUUGUUCAUCCCUUGCAUGUUGUAGUUAAACACAAAGCCUUUAUAGCUUGGCGGCAGUGAUUGAAGGAUUAUGUCAGUGAUAGCCUCUUGCGGGAGUUCAAUCCCCGGCUCAGCUAGACGGUUUGAGUACCCAGACAUUUUGAGCACAUGUUCACUGACAGAUGAGUUCUCCUCCAUCUUGCAAGCAUUGAAUUUAUCGGAGGUCUCAUACCUCUCGAUCCGGGCGUUCUUCUGAAAGAUAAACUUCAACUCUUGGAACAUAUCAAAUGCUCCAUGACGCUCAAAGAGACGUUGAAGUCCCGGUUCUAAGCCAUACAAGACUGCACAUUGAACUACUGAGUAGUCCUCCUUACGUGCUAACCAAGCGUUCUUAACAUCCUGAUCAGCCGUAGCGGGUGGUUCAUCUCCUAGCGCAGCAUUAAGGACAUAAUCCUUCUUCCCAGCUUGUAAGAUUAUCUUAAGAUUACGAGCCCAGUCUACAAAGUUGCUUCCAUCAUCUUUCAACUUAGCUUUCUCUAGGAACGUAUUAAAAUUCAGGGUGACUGUCGCGUGAGCCAUGAUCUACAACACAAAUAGAUUCAAAGUGGACUUAGACUAUGUUCAAGAUAAUUAGAGUUUAACCGAAUCAAAUUAUUCGCUAAACUCCUACUCAAAAAGUACAUCUCUCUAGUCAUUUGAGUGGUUCAUGAUCCACUUACACUAGCUCAAGUCCGAUCAUCACGUGAGUUGAGUAUAGUUUCAGUGGUAAGCAUCCCUAUGCUAAUCAUAUCAUCUAUAUGAUUCAUGAUCGACCUUUCGGUCUCAUGUGUUCCGAGGCCAUGUCUGCACAUGCUAGGCUCGUCAAGCUUAACCCGAGUGUUCCGCGUGCGCAACUGUUUUGCACCCGUUGUAUGUGAACGUUGAGUCUAUCACACCUGAUCAUCACGUGGUGUCUCGAAACGACGAACUGUAGCAACGGUGCACAGUCGGGGAGAACACAAUUUCGUCUUGAAAUUUUAGUGAGAGAUCACCAUAUAAUUGUACCGUCGUUCUAAGAUGCUAUUACUACUAAAGCUACAUCCUAGCAAAAUAGUAAACGCAUCUGCAAGCACAAACGUUAGUAUAAAGACAACCCUAUGGCUCCUGCCGGUUGCCGUACCAUCGACGUGCAAGUCGAUAUUUUCUAUUACAACAUGAUCAUCUCAUACAUCCAAUAUAUCACAUCACAUCGUUGGUCAUAUCACAUCAAGAAGGAACUUGGUGUGGUUGGUGAUGUGGUCACUAAAAAUGGGGUGGCGAGAGGGGUUCGCCGGCGGUGCGGGUGGUACGGCCGGAGCAGUAGUGAAGGAGAGAGGAGCGAACUGCGAUCCGGAGGAGGCGGAGGUGAUGCCGAACGAAGCCGGGGAGGUCGCCGCAGAGGAGGCCGGGGUAGAACCCGCACCGAGCGCACUGGUCGAGAGGGAGGACGGCAGGGCGACGUCGAUGAGAGCGUCGGAGGAGGAGGAGGAGCCGGCCAUGGGAGCGUCGGAGGAAGGAACCUGUAGCUAUCUGAUACCAAAUUAAAAACUAAACUUGUUCCUUGAAUGAAUUUGUUACAAUGUACAACUUAUAUGCACCUGAGAAAGCAACUAACAGCCCAAAAGAAUAGGCACGCAGGCCAGGGCGAGUAGGGCGAGUGGAUCCUACUAAUGUGGAUCAGCUAGACUAAGUACAUAUGUACACACAAUAAUACAAGUAAUAUAUACAUUCUAACACUUACUGCAUGUAGUCCCCGUGUGCUAGAUGCUUCCAUUCCAACAUGUUUGACAAAUCCAACUUCAUAGGUACAAUGUAAAUAAGCAAUUAUCACUACGACUUCCCCCGCUAAAAAAUAAUUAUGGCUUACAAGAAGUUGAGCGAGGUCACUAAAUCGUUAAGGUGAAAAUUCCACAGAAAAAUUAAGUGUUUAAUUAUUAUAAAUGUACAAUAGUCUAUUAUAUAUAACAAGGUUAUGAAAAAAAAACAUGGGCCAUGCAAUUAAAAAAAGUUCCCAUAGAAAAACAUUCAAUAAAAAUCUAAUACCAAAAGAGAUGAAGGCCAAAAAUAUAGAAAGUCUACGUGUGCAAAAAAUAUUGUAUGUUAAAGUGAUAUUCGAUACUUGAUACUCCAUCCCACAAAAGAAUGUUAUUGAGAACAGAAAAAUAAGUGUUUAAUAUGCACAAUAGUCUGUUCUAUAUAACAAGGUUAUGAAAAAAAUGUGGACCAGGUACUAAAUAAAUAAAUGGUCCCAUGGAAAAUAUUUAAAGUGAAAUCUAAUACCAAAAGAAUUGUAAUGGAAAAAUAAGUAUAUUUGUGCGAAAAAUAUUGUAUGUUCAAGAUAUAUUCGUAUUCUCUAUACUCCAUAUAACUUAGGGCUAUUUAACAUAGGUAGCAGACAUAUCUAUGUCGAAGUAAUAUUCCUUUGAAGCACUCUAUAUUUCUCUUAGAUCGACCAUAAUACAAGUAAUGAAUCAGACCAUAGCGAGCCAUUUUAUUAUAUUUUUCUAAAGGAAAACUAAGACGGACUAACUAAUAUGUAAAUCAGCUGAUGAAAGAGCCGCAUGCGAAGAAAAAUAAAUGCAAGUUCUCUCUUUGAAUCAAUAUUUAUUGUUUUGUAGUAAUGCAUUUCAAAUCUGUGUAGGACUGUAUGUCUUUUUUUUAUCAUUGGUAUAAAUUGUUUUCAUUAUGCAUUUCAAGGAAUUUCAACCACAAUAGAUGGACACGAGUGAAGGUGAGUAAUACAAGUUGCAUAGAUGAAAAAAUUACCAACAAAUUUCUAUACGAGAAUAUUUAGAAAUUUUGUUUCUCUAUAUACAACAUGUUCCUGCAUCACACUCACACACCCUCAUACUACACGUGUCUCAAAAUAUAAAACACUCAUCUCAAAAUAAGUAUGCAAUUGACAAAUGCAACAUCGCCAAGUUACAAAGGGAGGGAUACAAAUGAUACACGCACUUUUUGCGAAAAAUCAAAUGAAUAAUCUAGCCGCGCAAACGCGCGGGCCACCCGCUAUUUCUGAACAAGACAAAAGACCGGCUGUCAUUUCCAUCGAGCGGGACAAGGCUCGGUUUACAAGUUUGAAAUUCCCCACGAACAAGUUGUGAAGGUUUGUGCGUAUGCGUACGCCCGCCCACGGAUUUGCUCGAUCGGCUUGACACCCGUGUCAUCCUUAGCUGUCCGCCUGUCAUCCGGUCGCGGGGGCAAUCAAUGGCCGAAGUUAUCGCCGCUGACAGCACGCACGCGCUACGCCGGCCCGCGGCGGAGGAAAGGAUGCAUGAAUUACUCCUCCUACGUAAGAGUAGAUGCGAGCCGCCGCCUGCACGCGCAAUGUGCCCUUGGUUAAUGCGGCUGUCCUCCGUCCGGUGCGCCGAGCACCCGCACGGUUAACCGAGCACCUACCCCUCCUUGAUUCCGAUUCCACCCAGACGCGAGACGACGCGCAUCACUCGGCCGGCGUACCAACCGAUCUGGAGACUGCAGAACCAACUCAUCACUCCACCGUGCAUCAUGCUCGUCGCCGGCGAGUUAAACGGCGGCGGAUUGCUUCCGAUCGAUCCCAUGGCGUGAACCGCUGGUCGGCGGUAAGCUAACCAACACGAGGAGCGUUGGGUUUUGGUUUGGUGGUCAGAAUGGUCGGUCGAUUUCAGCGCAGGUACGGAGCAACCUGGAUGGGGCCAUCCGCGGCGACGCGAGUUGACGGGUCGAUGAUACGGAGGCGGUGGUGUGCACACUGCAUGCAGCGGCUGUCGGACGGUUUCAGUGGAUGGAUAGUGGGCACGAGGUUGCAGGCCUCGGCCGGACGGACGGGACUAUUCCCCUAGCCGCGCUCAUGUUUCCCUGCGCCCCGGCGGGAAGGGAAGAGAAGAGAAGAGAAGAAGGGACCUUUCACCAAGAUUGUACUUUGAUCAUUGGAUUUUGUACGCCGUAUUAAGACCGAAUAGUCACUUUGGAGCAGGGGCACAUUGCGUCCACUUUUACUACUUGAUACUAUAUGAUAUGAUGUAGGUCAACGAAAAUGCCUUUUGGAGCUCGGUUUUCAUGCAGGACGGUUUUUGAAAAGCUCAAAAUUCAUCGGAAUUCAUAUUUUUACAUUAGAAAAAAACUGAAAAAAUGCGGAUAUACAUGGAGGCAGAACACACGUGCCUCCGAUAUGUGCAAAAAGAUUGUACUCCGUAUUAAGACCGAAUAGUCACUUUGGAGCACGGCCACAUUGCACCCGUUUUUAUCCGAUAUGAUGUACUUUAUCUGAUUUAUCAGUAAAGCCGGUUUGUUUACUAAAAGAAGACAAUGCAUCCGGGCUUUUUUAGGUUCUAAACAAAUUAUUUGUACUGCUCAAAAAUUCCAAUUUUUUGUGUACGUGCAUAUCUAGAAGUGUAGUAUACCUCUGCAAAACUCCAUGAAUCUACAUGCUUAUAUGUGAGAUAUACAGAAAACAUUACAUGAAAAAUGGCUUGUUUUUCCUUGUCUUUUGGGACAUAAUUUUAUCAUUUUUUGUAGCGUAUGAUAUAACUUAUUAUAAUACGAAAAAUAAUUGGUACUUAGAGCACAUCCAUAUCAAUUCGUGUAAAAAAACAACUAUUAUUUAAACCUUUCAGUAAUUUUUUUGCCAUUCAAAGAUACCAGCUCAAUGAAGCACAUGCUCCAAAAAUCCGCUUAAGUGUUUGGACAAAAAAUUGAUAAACAACCACUCUAUCAAACAGUACAAUCCAUCCGCUUUAAAUUGAUAUCACCAGGAUCUUAUUUGAAAUUUAUUUAUCUACAGUUUUUAUUUUGUAUCACAUAAAUCAUAAAUUGGCAAAAUAACCAAUAGUUAACCUACAUAUAAAACUCGCUCAUGUAUACUUUCCUUAAAACUUUUGAAAUUAAAGGGCAUUUCAUUAAAAAUGCGGGGUUCAUCAUUUUAGUAAAACUCCAUAAAACAAUCUAAUUGUAAUCUUAAGGUGCUUCGAUCACGACAGCUAGAGGAGGGUCGUCCCAACAAAUCAAGUUUUUAAAGAUGGAACUUACUUCAAAUCUCAGCAACUUCCUGAACUUAGUAAUCAUGUAUCCGCAAAUCGACGACUACAUAUCAAAUAGACAAUUUUUAAGUAUUAAUCCCUCUGUUCGAUAAUGUAGUGUGUAUAGAUUGUACGAAAAGUCAAACUUAAUAAACCUUGAUCACGUUUGUAGAGAAAAAUACAUACAUCUAGAAUAUCAAAUACAUAUCAUAAGAUAUACUCCCUCCAUCCCAAAAUAAGUGUCUUAACUUUAUAUUAGCUCUAGUACAAAUUUGUACUAAGCUUGAGACAGUUAUUUUGGAAAGGGGGGAGUAUUUUCAUACUAAAUAUAUUUGGUAUUGUAAUUAUAGAUAGUUUUAUUAAUAAACUUAGACAAAGCUUUUGAAGUUUGACUUUUUAAAUACUUUAUAUGACUACAUUAUGGAGUGAAGGUAGUACAAAUGAUAAAUGUCUAUUCACAAAAAAAAAA
rnacentral:lncRNA from 1 species